rnacentral:lncRNA from 1 species
UCAAUAUCAAAACUCCCUUCAGGAGUAGCGAAAAUGAGAAGCAAUAUUCUACUUACCAUUAUCUUAGCCAUAGUUCUUGCAGGAGCCCUGCCCAAGAAUGUGGUAGAGGCUCAAAAUUGUGGCUGUGCUGCAAACCUUUGUUGCAGUCAAUAUGGCUACUGUGGCACUGGCAAUGCCUAUUGUGGUCAGGGAUGUAAACAAGGGCCCUGUUAUUCAUCGCCUACGCCUACUACCCCUAGUGGGAGUGGUUCUGUUGCUGAUAUUGUUACGCCUGCUUUCUUCAAUGGUAUAAUCAACCAAGCUGCUGCAAGCUGUGCUGGGAAGAAUUUCUAUACAAGAAAUGCAUUUCUCAGUGCUGUCAAUUCAUAUUCUCAAUUUGGUAAACUUGGUUCAGCUGAAGCUUCUAAGCGUGAGAUCGCAGCUUUCUUCGCUCAUGUUACUCAUGAGACUGGACGUAAGUUCCUCUUCCAUCCCUAAUAACAUUUCUCGCAGCAUUCGAAUAUGGAUUUUGUCAACAAAGUGAACUGUCUAAUAAGUGUGUUUCAGAUCCUCGUGUGUAAACUGACAAGAGAAAAUGUCAUAUUUUGCAGACUUCUGCUAUAUAGAAGAGAUAAAUGGUGCUUCCGGUAACUACUGUGAUGAAAACAACAGGGAAUACCCAUGUGUUGCAGGCAAGAAAUACUAUGGCCGCGGACCACUCCAACUAUCAUGGAACUACAACUAUGGGCCAGCCGGAAGGAGCAACAACUUUGAUGGAUUGAACAAUCCUGACAUUGUAGCAAGGGAUGCUGUUGUGUCAUUUAAGACAGCCUUAUGGUUUUGGAUGAACAGAGUUCGUCCUGUUGUAAGCCAAGGUUUUGGAGCAACUAUUCGAGCCAUUAAUAGUAUAGAAUGCAAUGGUGGAAACGCAGGUGCUGUUCAGGCUCGUGUUAGAUAUUAUAGAGAUUAUUGCAGUCAACUCGGCGUUUCUACUGAGAAUAACCUCACUUGCUAAGUUCUUAAAUAACCUGAGUUGUUAUGCCAAGUUAUGGCUAAUCAUAUGAAAAUAAGAUGUAUUGCUAUGAAAUAAAUUGAAGACAAAUAAAGUUUAUAAUUAUCGUUAUGUCUCUUAUAGUUUUUCAGUAAUUUUGAUGUCCCUUUUAUAUUUAUUUUUGUUACUUUGAAAAACCUCCACUUUACGUGGCCAAAAAUUUGUGUUGAAAUUCAAUUUACGCCUUGUACGUAUUUUAUUUUCCAUCAUUUGAGUCCAUUAUGACCAAAAGAUUGUCCAUCCAACCCAAUAUAUUAGCAAUUUGAAAUUGAAAUCACUAUAUGUGUGCAUAUUCAUUUAAUUUAUUCUUCCAUUUCCAUAAUACAUUUUUCAAAUUUAUGUUAAUAUCCAUAGUAGGAUCUACUCUAAUUAAUUACUUCUCGAGUAAAACAAAAAUUUCAUGAUUAUGACAUUUUUUCUUUUUAUGUUUUUUAAAAUGAAAGGUUGUAUUGCCUUGCCUAUUAUGUUUAUAAUACAUGUUCAGCUUACUUUUCAUCUUUCAAAUUUGGUUGAUGCAGAGUGUUUUUUUAAAUGAUUUUUAUUUAAAAAUAUAUUAAAAAUAUAUUUUAUUUUUCAUAUUAGUAUAUUCAAACAAUAAAAAAAAACUUUUUCAAAAACAAAUUAAAAUUUAAAAAAUACAGUUCAACCACACUUCUAAACAACACCGAAGUUAAAAAGAAACUAAGUUGUGGUUUUUUAGAUGUUAAGAGCCUAUUUGAGAACACGGUGUAAACCACAUUCUUUUAAAUUUUAAAAAAAAUUGCUAAAAUUUAUUUUUUUAUGUCUUGAGAUUGUUUUAAUGUGUUAAUGUUAAAAAUAAUUUUAAAAAAUUAAAAAAUAUAUAUUUUUUAAAAAACAACUUUAGACUGCAACAACUAUUGAAAUUUUAAACAGUCCAUAAGAAAUUGAAUUGAAUUGUACUAGGAUCUUUGCCAUGGAAUCACUAUUGGGAUUAUUUAGUGGUUCAAAAUCAUGUUGAGCUAGCCGACGUUGAAAAUCAUCAAUAUUAAUGGAGAGACUUUUCAAAGAAGUUGUCAAGUCCAUUUCUGACAUGAUAGCAAUUAUGGAUUGGGGUCCAUGUCCAUGUACCAACAUUGUAUAGAUCAUGAACCAAGUUUAAUGUCAAAGGAUCGAUUUGCCAGGAAAAAAAAAUUGAAAAAUGAAAAAUUAGGCAACUUGCUGUGAUUUCCUUUUGCUUCCAAGAUAUACGAUAUGGCCGCAGUGUGGUCAAAUAUCUUGGUAGUGUUGAUUAAUGGAGAGCUAAAGCCACAGCCCACCCAUUUCUUAUCCACCUAGCCAGAUGAGGAAGAAACGAUGGCUCCUAUUUUACUUAUUUUUCAGCUGCAAGAGCUGAGUUGUAGUAAGAUGGAAUGAGUUGACAUGACAUGUGUUGGAAUGAGCUGUAUCUAUCCCAACUCGUUGCAUGUUUUGGUUAUAAAAUCUUUUUAAAAGUAUUUCUAAGUUUUUUUUGUUAUAUAUUUUUUUUAGUGUUUUAAAAUUAUUUUGAUGUAUCGAUAUUAUAAAUAAAAUUUAAAAAAUAAAAAAUUAUUGUUUAAAUGUAUUUUUAAAUAAAAUAUAAUUUUAAAAACAAAAUUUAAAUUAGCAGUAAAAACACAAUAUAAAUGUGACAAAACACAGUGAGCUAAACACCAAGAGAAAGAGUGUUUAUCCAACCUAGUUAAAUCUUAGGCGUCGAUUCUGGGCAUCCAUUUUUAUCCUGACUGUUAGCUACAAAAACUAGAAAAAGAAAGGAGCACUAGAAGACGGCUUCAGUUUUAUCUUUUUUCUAUCCUUUCAUUUAUGGUACGUUGAAAGGUUGUCUUCUCUAUGUUAAAAAUAUAUAGGGAAUUGGCUAGUCAACGUCGGCUAUGCCCAUACUGUGCCAUUGGGCGCCACUAUCCUUUCAUUGAUGGUAAUUGACUAUUCAACGUUUUUCUUUUCACAUAGUUGUGGGGUGUCUACUCUUCGAAUGGGGUUCUUCUAGUCCUAGAUAGGAUACUACCUUUUCUUUCGUUAGGAGAUAGGAUUUGGCAGACUUUUCCCUUCAAAUGCUGAAAUAAAUGCUGAAAUGGAUAGAAAAUAAUAUAAAUUAUAUUCUAAAAUUUUAUUUAAUAAUUUAAAAUUUUAGAUUGAAAUGAUUUUUGAUAUAAUAUCAAUACUUUGAUAAUUAAAUGAUCACGAAUUCAAAUCUCACCAUCUGCACUUAUUUGAUAAAAAUUAAGCACAGGGUAAUGUAAACAUGUUUAAAUUUUAAGUCCAAAAGACUUUUACUUGAGAUGACGUGUUAGAGAAUAAUAUAAAUCAUAUUCUGGAACUUUAUUUAAUAAUUUAAACUUUCAAAUUAAAAUGAAAGCUAACAAUGGUAAGCUAACAAUUGAGUCUGUGUCUUUAUGUGGACAAGAUUUCUAUUUUCUUGCCUAACUACAAAGUUUACUUGAAAUGGUAGUGAUUGAUUAUCCUUUCCUAGUUGUUUGAAAAGUAAUACGCACGUGCCAGCAAUGGCCCUGCAGGUAAUGGCGCCACAAAUGGUUUGGGAAAUUAAACUCCUUGCCCUCUCUAGGGCCUAGAUUUGUCUCCGCUGAUAGUGUGCUAAAGAAUUUAAAAGAAUUGGUAUUAGUAUUGUGAGUUUGAAGAAAAUUAGAGAAAUGAAAAAAAAAUGAGGGCGGCUAAAUUAUGGCUCUGUAAUUGGCUCUUCCAUAGACUGUAGUGGUCAGCGCCUUUGGAUUGCAAACAUCUAUGCUUCUAGAAAUCUUGAACUUCCAGUUUGUUAAGAGUUUUUAUCUAGUCACCCACGAUGGUCUGUAAUGAACUGAACAACCUAGUCAUUGAGAAGCCUAUAACACUUUAUGCAAGUCUCCAAGUGAACAAAUUUGCAGAUUAUGCUUGUCUCCUAGCAUUGAAAAUUCCCACGUUCGUAAAGCUUUUGAGGAUACUAUGAAGCUCAUCCCAUAUGAUUCCCAUCUAUCGAGUGCUGUAACAGCACAAUUCAAAGUUAAAACUUCAUGUUGAUUCAAAACAAACUAAUGUUAAGAUAUCCAAAAGCCUUGAAAUGAUUUGAGAAUUUCAAGUGUUAGACAAAAAAUCCACCAUGAGUGAUUGGAUGUUCAAAUAUCUUAUGCACUGCGACAAGGUCGGAUGUUAGAAAUAUGGGUGAAGUCUCCCUCCAGUUUUUAUAAAACACUUUUAAAAAAAAAACAAAUCAUGAGGUUGCCUUCUUCACUCUCGCCUGUAAUAUGGGCUCUCAAAAUUGAAUGUGGAGCUGGAACCAUACGACUCAUUAUCUUCAAGAUCUUCUAAAUCCUUAUUUAUUAAGUAAUGGUCACUUUUGAAACUUCCCUUUACAAAUCUUUAUUCACUAAGUUAUGACAGUUUUGUUCUUGGGCAGAACCUCCUCAACCAUAAUUAAUUCCCCUCUGCCAUAACCAUGUUUUGCGUUGUGAUCUCUAGCCAUAGUAGUUCAGCAACAUUAAAAAAAAGAAGGAACAAUAGGAUAUGAUACCAACUUGCACAAUUUAAACUAAUUAGACUGGGAAUAAAAAAAAAACAUGGGAAGAUAGAAUUCACCAAAAGGGCCAAACAAGAACCCUAGCUACAUUGUUAUUUUCAGAAUAUAUUCCUCCACCAAAAUCUACCUCAUAAAAAUAUUUUCAAUAACUUAAAUAGGUCUAUCUUCUCGAUCAAAAUGGAAAAAAUAAUCUUACAUGGAUAGAAAAAUUAAAAGCUAAAAUUUGAAAUAAAUAAAAACUAAAACUAAAAAAAAAUAGCAAUUUAUAAAUCUAAUUUGAAAGUCUUGAUUACCUCAACGAGCCAAUAUUUCACUAUAGAAUAGAUCUGCAUAAUCUUUUAAUGAAAUUUAAAUGUGAUCUAAUAAUUAAAUAAAAUAUUAUGUUUAUUUUUAUCAGAAAUAUUAUUUGGAGUGACUAAAUCUUUUCUUGGGUUUGAACUUUUUAUUUAAUCCAUAAAUGUAUUUAUUAGGUAUUUUAUAUACUCUGAUUAUUAUUCUUGUACAUUAAUAUUAGGAAUAACCACAAUAAAUAUUGGUAUGGGAAAUUAAACUCCUUAGAAUUACCUUACCCAACUCUGAAGCCCUAGAUGUACAUGGCGUGGUAAAGGAUUUAAAAGAUAUGGUAUUAGUGUAUGGGAAAGAAAUUAAACUGAGAACUUGGCUCUGCCUCGGUGCUCAGUACCAUUCGAUCUCUAACAUCUAUGCAUGCUUCUAGAAAUUUUGAGCUCCUAGUCCGUUCAAAGUUUUUUUAGCAGCCUUCCUUGAUGAUCUAUAUGAACCGAACAAUCAAGUCAUUGAGAAGCCUACAACACUUAGCCUAGUCCCUAACUUUGUGGCGCAUUGAGUGGAAGAAAUUUUCAACGUUUGACUCUAAGUAGUCACUCAUUUACGCUGUUUAGAAUCCAAGUUAAAUUUCCAUGUUGAUAAAAAAAAAAAAAAAACACCAAAGUUAAGAUGGAAAAAUUCGUUGAAUCCGUACUUCAUGAAAUUUUAAUUAUUACAUAGGAAAAUACAUGUCCAAAGUUAAAAACACAUUAUAUUAUUCAAUGAACUGUAAUAUAAAUUGAUAUUUGAAAUAUAAGGUUGUGUUGCACUCAUGAAAUGAAAUGAUAGAAAGAUCUGAUUUAGUGUUAGGUUUUAAGCCAAUAAAAUUAGUUUGAAAGGAUAAUAUUAAUUGUUUUUUAAAAUGAUUUUUUGUUUGAAAAUAUAUUAAAAAUAUAUAUUAUUUUUAUAUCAGGAUAUCAAAAUAAUAUAAAAAUAACAAGAAAAAAUUAAUUUAAAAUAAAAAAAAUUUAAUUUUUUUUUAAAUUCUUUUAAAACCUAAACAAUUUUCUCAGUCUUGUCUUCUAACAUAAAAAAAAUUAUAUAUAUAUAUAUAUAUAUAUAUAUAUAUAUAUAUAUAUAUAUAUAUAUUAUGAAGCCAACAGUAUCAAUCACAUAAUCCAUUAUCUGUCAGAGUCUCGGUACUUGAGGGAUUUGAUCCCAAAUGACACAAGCCUGGUGACUUUACUAAUCAGCUCUUUACUAGGUUUCUUGCGGGUUUUUUUUUAUCAGUAAUCCUUCUCCAAUUUGUCGUCUCAAACUGGUUUUUAAUAUCUAUUUGAUGAUCAAAGAAAAGAAAAGGCCUAAUCAUCUAACAAGUAGUUUUAAUUCUAUUUUUGUAUAUUUUCACUUAAAAUAUAUUAGAGAAUAAUAUAAAUUAUAUAUUGAAACUUUACUUAACAAUUUAAGUUAUUAAAUUGAGAUGAUUUUUUAACAUGGUAUCAAAGUAUUGAUGACCAAGUGAUCACGAGUUUAAAUCUCACUAUCCCUAUUUAUUUGAUAAAAAAUAAACACAUGAUAAUAUGGUAUUGUGGAAGUUUAAAGCCCAAAGAGCUUUCAAUUAAGAGAGUGUGUUAGAGAAUAAUAUAAAUUAUAUCCUGAGAUUUUACCUAACAGUUUAAGCUUAUGGGUUAAGAUGAUUUUUUGAUAGAGUGAAAAUGUGAGCAUAGUAAUAAAUAUCUUCCAAGUUUCAGCGGGUCAACUCAACAACCUACCAAUUAAAUAUUUUAUUUUAUUUUAAAUUGGUUUUUUUAUGAAAAUAAUAUAAAAUAUUUUUAAGAAAAUCAUAUAUCUAGUUUGUAGUUUAUAACUAAGAACGUGAGAUGUCUCUCUUGCCAUCAAGGCAUUUAGAAUUUUCAUAUCUAUCGCUAUAAGGUGCUUUGUAGUUUCAUAAAACUUUGCUUAGUGAACCUCCUUUUGUCGUUAUAAGUCAUCUAAGCAGACCCGUAUUCUACACGCACAAAUAUGUAUAAAAAUCUACAUGCUAUCCUGCUAUAUAUAUGGCCCAAACCAAACCUUAUUUUUCCAUCCAGAUUUUUUACCCUUAAUUAAAUAAAAAAACACCUUGCUUACCUUAUGUUUUUUCUUAACAUGGGAAACAAUGUACUAUCCAUCAUUCUGGCUAUGAUGCUGGCUGUAACCAUGCCGCAGUUGAUAGUGUCUCAAAAUUGUGGUUGUGCUCCCAACUUGUGCUGUAGUCAGUUUGGCUUCUGCGGCACCGGUGAUGCUUAUUGUGGCCAAGGAUGCCGGGAGGGACCUUGUACCUCAGCACCUAGUACCCCUAGCACGCCUAGUAACAAUGAUGUUACGGUGGCUGGUGUUGUUACACCGGAAUUCUUCAACGGUAUAAUCAAUCAAGCCGGGGGAGAUUGUGCCGGGAAGAGCUUCUACACACGAGAUGCGUUUCUCAGUGCCCUCAAUUCUUAUUCUCAGUUUGGCAAGAUUGGAUCAAAUGACGAUUCCAAACGUGAGAUUGCAGCAUUUUUUGCUCACGUCACGCAUGAGACCGGACGUAAGAUCUCUUAAAUCUCAUCUAUAUAUAUAUAUAUGUAUAUUGUCACACAUCACACCUUCAGUAAACAACAUAAUAAUAAUAAUAAUAAUAAUCAUAUGGCAGUUAAAAACUUUAUUAACAUGCAUACAAACUUGGAAAUGCUAUAGUUGUUUGAGAAUGAUCGUUAUGAUAUGAACACAAGCAUAACCAUACAUCUCAAAGUUAACAAAUGGAUGUGUUUUGCUUGGUUUACAGACUUCUGCUACAUAGAAGAAAUAAACGGUGCCUCUCAGGACUACUGUGAUGAGACCAAUACACAGUAUCCAUGCAACCCGAACAAGAAAUACUUUGGCCGUGGACCUCUUCAACUAACAUGGAAUUACAAUUACGGGGCGGCUGGAGGGGCAAACAACUUUGAUGGACUAAACUCUCCUGAAACUGUGGCCAAUGAUCCUGUUGUGUCGUUCAAGACUGCCUUAUGGUUUUGGAUGACUAAUGUCCGCCCUGUGGUCACUCAAGGGUUUGGUGCAACGAUUAGAGCCAUUAAUGGUGCAGUUGAAUGUAAUGGUGGAAAUUCUGGUGCUGUUCAAGCUCGAAUUGGGUAUUACACAGAUUAUUGUAACCAGUUUGGCGUUGCACCUGGCGACAAUCUAAGCUGUUAGGUUACAUUAUGCAUAUUAUAGUAUAGCAAAGAAAUGAAAUGGAAUCUACCUUCUGCCAUUUCUCGAAUGUAAGGUGGGAUACCCAGUGGUGUUCUGUAACUCUCGAUCGAGUUCGAUGUAUUUCUUGGAAUGGAUUUUACCAAUAAAUAAAUGAAAUAAAGGCAUCACAUAAUUGAUUUUGCUUAUCAUGUAUUUGCUGGCUUAAUUCGUUGUUAUGUUCAUUGCAAUUGCAAGUUUCUUGUUUAGUUUUUUUUUUUUAUUUAUAAUCUUUAAUCUUUAAUCACUAAUGAAAGUUUUGCUCUUGGGCAGAACCUCCUCAACCAUAAUUAAUUCCCCUCUGCCAUAAUCAUGUUUUGCGUUGUGAUCUCUAGCCAUAGUUGUUCAGCAACAUAUAUAUAUAUAUAAAAAAAAAAAAAACAAGGAACAAUAGGAUAUGACACCAACUAGCACAAUUUAAACUAAUUAGACUGGGAAUAAAAAAACAGGGGAAGAUAGAAUUCACCAAAAGGGCCAAACAAAGAACCCUAGCUGCAUUGUUAUUUUCAGAAUAAUAUUCUUCCACCAAAAUCUACAUCAUAAAAAUAUUUGCAAUAAUUUAAAUAACCUCAAUCAAAAUGGAAAAAAUAAUCCUACAUAGACAGAAAAAUUAAAAGCUAAAAUUUGAAAUAAAUAAAAACUAAAACUAAAAAAUUAACAUUUUUAAAAUUUAAUUUGAAAAUCUUUCUAACCUCAACUUAUUACAACGAGACAAUAUUCCACUAUAGAAUAUGCCUGCAGAAUCUUUUAAUGAAAUUUAAACAUGAUUCAAUAAUUAAAUAAAAAAUUAUGUUUAUUUUCAUUAAACAUAUUGUUUAGAGGAACUAAACUUUUUCUUGAGUUUGGAUUUUUUAUGCGAUCCAUAAAUAUAUAUCUGCUAGGUUUUUCAUAUACUCUAGUUACAACAAAUUUAUAUUUGAUUAUGAUUAUUAUUCUUGUAGAUUAAUAUUAGCAAUAACGAACAAUAUUUGUAUGGGAAAUUAAAUUCCUUAUAACUAACUUACCCAACUCUCAAGCCCUAGAUGUACAUGGUGUGGUAAAGGAUUUAAAAGAUAUGGUAUUAGUGUAUGGGAAAGAAAUUAAAAUAAAUUAAGAACUUGGCUCUGCCUCGGUGCUCAGUACCAUUUGAUUUCUAACAUCUAUGCUUCUAGAAAUUUUGAACUCAUAGUUUGUCCAAAGUUUUUUUUAGCAGCCUUCCUUGAUGAUCUAUAUGAAACGAACAAUGAAGUCAUUGAGAAGCCUACAACACUUAUGGCGCGUUGAGUGGAAGAAAUUAUCAAAGCCUACAACACUAAUGAAAUUUUAAUUAUUACAUAGGAAAACCCAAAGUUUACAACACGUUAUUCAAUGAACUGUAAUAUAAAUGGAUAUUUGCAAACAACAUUCUCUCUAUUAUUUUCUAACAUACCAAAGAAAAUUUACGAAGCCAACAUUAUCGAUCGCAUAAUCCAUUAUCUGUCGGAGUCUCGGUACUAGAGGGAUUUGAUUCCAAAUCACACAAGCCUAGUAACUUUACUAAUCAGCUCUCUUUUUAGGUUUCUUUCGAGUUUUUUAUUAGUAAUUCUUCUCCAAUUUGUCGUCUCAAGCUGGUUUUUACUGUCUAUUUGCUGAUCAAGUCAAAGAAAAGAACAUGCAAUUCCCCCUAUUUAUAGGUUAUGGAAGAAGGUAAUAUUUUCUUCACUUUGAGAAAAUUUUCAAUCCUUAAUUCGGAUGGAAAUGAUCACAACCGUUGACUUAAAAUAGGCAGCAUGAACUGUAUAAAUUUGACAGUUAGUGGCUGCUUGAGCUGGCCUCUUUAGGUUGGCACCGCGACCUCUAUGGUGUUAAUCAACCUAAACAGACCAUACCAGGGUGUAAAAGGAUGUCAGGUGAUCAUUUACAUGCAAGUUUUAGUGAAGGUUAGAUGCAUUAAAUGCACCUAUGAAGUUGUUUUUCUAAGCUAUCAUUUCAGUGAAAAUUAAAGAAGAAGAUGAACAAUAACCAAAACAGCGCCAUUUUGGUAACAUUCACUUUAGCCAUUUGAUUUCUAAUUUGUCUCAAUUACACCCUUGAUUGACUUCAAAUUUUUAAUUUUAUGUAAUCUCAUCCCUAGAAAAACCUCAAUGUCAGCCUCGGAUAUCGCAAUGACCGAUUAAAAAUAAUCUAAGAAAAGAAAAGAUAUCAAACAUCUUAAUCUGUGGGGAAAAGGUCUAGUUUAAGGAGUUACCACCUAGUAUUACAGUCAGACCAACCCUAACUGAUCAACAGAGAUUAUAUUGUACGGGACUGGUUACGCGAAAUGAGAGAUAUUAUCACCCCUUAAACGCCUUACUUAAAGCAAACUACAUUGUUGGUUUUGUUUUAAAUUGCUAAGAUUUCGUCUUUGUUCCAUUUUUAAGGUCAUCCUAUAAUAUUCUCAACUCUGACGUAAAUAGUUAUUCCCCUAUAAAUAUUUUCAAUUCUAGCGUUGGUAAAUAUUGUGCAAUCCAUAAAGUACGGUAAUCCUAACUAUGACGUUAGGGAAUGAGUCUGCAAAUUUUAAAUUUUAAAAAAGAAAGAAACAAUUUUUUUAUUUUUUUCUGGCCGGAUCUAGGUUAGCUAUACAGGUCGGGCUUGAUCCAGCUAGCAUGAGCUUGGUCACUGAAAUGCAACAAGCAUACGUCAAUUAUAAUUCACGUAUGCGUGUAUAGCAAGAAUGUAAUUAAAAUGACAAUGGUUAAGGGCCAAGAAUAAAAUUAAAAAUAAAAGAAUAAGAAUUAAAUUUGAAGUAUCAAUAACUAAAAUGACAACAUUGAAAUUCUAAAUGGCUGGUGCGAUUUUCGAGAGAAGAAGAGAGAGAAAAGAGAAAGAAAAAAAAAAACUCACCAACAACAAUUCAUCAUACCACCAUCACCACAUGCCACACCACAAAAAAUAAUAAGAUGUAAAGAUUUCAACAACAUAACGGAAGAGCUUUUUAACCACUGUGACGCAUUGUGCGUGCUAACAGAGGUUAUGGGCGCCUCCCACACGUUGGAGUAUGAAUUGUGUAUAUCAUCAACUUUUCUAUUUUAAUAUUAUUUAAUUUUUAUUAAAAUAUUAAAUUACCAUCAACCAAUUUGAUGAUAACAGAUAAAAAAAAAAACAUAGUAAAAAAACAUAAAAGCUUCUAUAUGCAAGCUUUAGAAAUUUUGCAAGUCUUUUUAUUGCUCUUAAAAUAGUGAAUUGAUGUGAAAGCCCUUAAAAGUUAGUUUCAAUAAUUUUGCUUUGAAGGGUAAAAAAAAUUAAAAAAGACAAGCGGUCAAUAUUAUAAUUAAUAAUAAAUCAUGUACGAAAAGAAAAAAAAAAUCCCCAAUGUAAAAGCCAUUGGUUUUUUUAAGAAGGGUAAAUAGAUAAUUAUACUAUAGCAUAGUAAAUUAUUUAUAUGACAUAGUAUCUUCACCUUUUGUUUUAGCUUUAUCUUGUUUUCUGUUAUAUUGCUAGACAUCUUUUAACCGCAGCUAAUAGUAUUCACAGCAACAAAUAUAACUAAAAGCAACCAAGUAAUCACUACAUAGAUCCUUAAUGUGUUAUUAAAUAUUAUAAGAGAUUUAAAUAAAAAAAAUAUAUAAAACGGUUCAUACACAAAAUUUAUAUGGUUUAAGAGCCACACUUUCUAAAAAAAUUAAUUUUUUUUCUUCAAAUUAAAUAAUACUAUUUGAGAGUAAUUGAGUUUAUCUACUGAAUUUAUCAUGCAAUCUGUUUGCAACGCGAAGCCCCAUGUAUCUCAAGCCCGUCAUAUUAUAUUCCAAAUGAAGGCCCAAAAACGAUGGGCCAUUAUGACGACAGCUGUUCAGCACUUUAUUUAGGCCCCCGUCUUUCAAAUGAAAUGCAAUUACAAUUUCAGGAUGUCUUAGCAACAAUUCCACGACGUCGCAUCCAAUGGUUCUCAGACGCAUGAAGCACAAGGCUAAGCUUCUGUCUUCAAGUGGAAGUCUACACAGCAUAUUGAAGAUGAAUGUGAGGUGGAAUCCCAAGGCUCACUGGACUCUGGAAUCAGACAAGGGAAUCUUCGUUGUUUAACAUCUUCAAAUUCUGUUGUUGAGGCAGAGGUGCACGGAACGUUGAAAACUGGGCAGGCAUUGGGUUUUGGAAUGUUGAGGACUUGCAGGUGCUGGCAACAUCCAUUAGAGGCCAUGUGGACAGAAAGAUGGAAGAUUGGAAUGACGACCAAUAAUGCCAUUUUGCAGCUCGACAGUGGAUGUGUAUUACCUUCUUUCUUAAUGAAGAUCUUAUUCUGGAAUAGUUGUGGAUUGGGUAUGUCUGCUAAGGGGGUAUCGAUUAGGAAUACUAUUCUGCAUAAUGACAUUGAGGUGUGUUUCCUGCUAGGAACUAAGAGGGCAAUGUGCUGUGACAAAUUUGUUCAUGCAUUAUAGAAUAACUUAUCAGUCAAAUGGUUUAAUUAGGCUGGAGGUAUUUUAGCUACGUGGGAUGAAAGGAAGUUCAUGGUUCAUUUAGCCAAUAUCAAACUAGAAUGUGAUGGUGAAGAUAUAAGGAUGUGUUUUGCCAAACACACACUUAUCAAAUAUGGACUAGGCAAGCUGGAUUUGAAGACCAGACUUGGCCGACACUUUUUUUCUUUUUUAUUGGACAAGAUCUAGCCCAGCCACGCACCCUGGGCUAAACCUAGUCAGUCAACCUGGUUAAUGGCUUAAGCCAGUGACCUAGCUGCAGGAAGGAGCAGGCUUACCUGCUUUGUGCAAUAUUUAAUUUUUUGCAAGCAUAAUAACAACAAGAAAAAUGACUUUGAAAAUUUCUUCUUCAAAUUCAAUUUUUUACCUCGUUUAUAAUCCAAGUGUAUUAAAAUGAGAGCUGGGGAAGAAAAAAGACUUACCUAGCUUGCAAAGACAUUGCACGAGAUUGUAAGUGCUAGGUGAAUUUGUAGUGUCAGAGGAAGAAGAAGAAGAAUUGUGCAUGGUUGAAACAGUGUCGUUUUGAACUGGGAAUAAACAAAUUUAAUUAUUUUAUAGUUUUGUAAAAAAAUUUUUUAAAAAUAUUUUUAAAUAAGCGCCGAUGAAAUUACAUACGGUAUUUUUUUGAGAAAAAUAUCGACGAAAUGAAGCGGGUAAUUUUUUUUGCGCUUUUUUCGUUAGUAAAUCCAUCGGUAAUAAUAUUUUUUAUUACCAACGGAUAAAAAAUUACAGAUAAAAAAUUCACCAAUAGAACAUUUUCAUCUGUGAUUCCAUCGAUAAAUUAAUUACUAAUAGAAUAAUAGUACAAACGCCGAUAAAAAAUUACAUCGGUAAAUAUAAAGAUUAUGAUAGUGUAUUAAAGGUUCACCAAGCACGGAGUUUAGAGUAGAACGUGACUAUGUCAAGCCAAGAAUCACUAUCGCCUUUUCUUUUUGACAUAGAUAUGAAGGGGUUAUCUCUUCUAUUUAUAAGAGCUUCCACUUCUGGAUUAUUUAAUUAAAGGAAUCCAUUAUGGAAAUGGGAUGCAUAUUGUUGAAUAAACUCAAUCCAGAAGCUCCCAGAUGGUCAAGGAAGGCAACCACCAGCUGCCACCGACCAGCCACCAACCAACCAGCCACCAGCCGCCAGCCACCAGCUGCCACAGCAGCCAGCCGCCUUCACACUUGAAGGUUGAAUUUUCUUGUUUUGAUUUCGUGUAUAAAUAGAGUGCCCAACCUCUGUUAAAUUGUGUGGAGAGAAUUGAGAGGAACACUAGAAAGAGAAAGAGAGAGAGAGGGCGUGUAAUUGUUAAGCUUUUGUUGUGUAAUUGUAAGCUUCGGUUUUUUGUAAUAAAACAGUGUGUUUUAUCCCCUCUGAGUGUUUCAAAGCCACCACCAGUGGUUCCUCCCACCAACAAUUGGUAUCAGAGCUCCGUUCGUCGGAAAACAGAAGAGUUUUGCGGUAUAUCCGAAUUUUCAAAAUUGUCAAAAACAAGUUUUGAUCAUUCCACAGUGUAGAGCUCAUCAAGACGAACUCACUGCCGCAAAAUCAGCCUCAUCGGAGUCGAGGUAGCCCACACGCGCCUGAAUAUCUGCCAGAUCGCCCACGCGCCCCGAGGUUGAAGACGACUGAGCCAACGCGCGCCAUUUUGAGCCGCGCCGCGCCGUUACGCCGAGUCCUAGCCAAGCCGCAAGCCGAGUCCAGCCGAGCCGAGCCGUCCAGCCCGAAAGAAUAUUCCCUGGAAUAUUCCCGAAUAUUCCCCAGAAUAUUCCCGGUUCAACCCAGCGAACCGCCCGCCAUACAGAAUUGGUUUUUUGACCGGUUCACCCAUUUUCUGACCUGAUUUCAACAAAGUCAGACCGGUUCCCAACUAUUUGGACUAUUCCAGAUCGAUAUACAGUGUCCGUUUGGUCAAAUUCGGCUCCCAGAAAGGUGAUAUAGUCAUUCAAAGAGCAAAAUGACUACAGAAGGUACACAUACACUCAUUCCAAAGCUGACCAAAGACAACUAUGAUAGUUGGUGCAUCAGAUUGAAGGCAUUUCUUGGGUCACAAGAGUGUUUGGAUAUUGUACAAACUAGUUAUGAUGAACCAGAGUCCAAAAAAAGAGAAGAUGCUUUACAAGAGGCACAGAAGCAAGCCCUCAAAGUCAACAGAAAGAAAGACAACAAGGCAAAGACCAUCAUCUAACAAGGUCUUGAUGAAGAUACAUUCGAGAUAAUAGCUUCCGCUGAAACAUCACAUGAUAUAUGGGAGGCUCUCCAACAGAAAUACAAAGGUGCUGACAGAAUCAAGAAGAUUCGUCUUCAAUCUUUGAGAGGAGAAUUGAUUAUUGCAAAUGAAGUCCUCAGAGUCUAUUUCUGAUUAUCACACAAGGAUUAUGGUGAUAGUCAACCAGAUGAGAAGAAAUGGAGAAGCCCUCAUCGAUUCUCGAAUUAUGAAAAAAAUUUUGAGAUCCCUAGAUCCAAAAUUCAAUUUUGUUGUUGUCGCAAUUGAAGAGUCCAAGGAAGUGGACAAGUUGACGGUUGAUGAGCUUAUGAGUUCGUUGCAAGCUCAUGAGCAGAAGAUAGUAAAGCGAAAUGAAGAUAAGGCCAUCGAGCAUGCCUUACAAGCAAAGCUGUCUCUCAAAGACAGAUAUGAGCAAGGGGAGACUUCAUCAAGUGGCUACACCACUCAAGGAGGAAGUCAACAAUCCAGAGGAAGAUUCCAGAGAUUCCAAGGAAGAGGUUCUUGGAAUACAAUCUUUAGAGGAAGAGGUGGCAGAAACACCACCAGAGGAGGCUGAGGCCAACAAGCAUUCACUCCUAGAGGAAGAGGAGGCGGUUACAAUAACCGUGACAAGAGAAAUAUCAAAUGUUAUAGUUGCAAUCAAUUUGGGCACUAUAGCACUGAAUGCCGAUGGAAAGCUCCGUUGGAGAUACGUGAGCAUGCCAACUAUGCAGAGAAGGAUGACAGAGAAGCAUCUGCAUUUCUUGUCCAACAAGAACUUGGCGAGAAACAGGAAAAUAUAUGGUAUCUAGAUACUGGAGCCAGCAAUCACAUGUGCGGCUACCGAGAGUUAUUUGGUGAUCUAGAUGAGACCAAGCAAGGUCUAGUUACUUUUGGAGAUACCACAAAGGUUCCAUUCAAAGGUAAAGGCAGCAUCCCAGUCAAGUUGAAGAAUGGCGAUUCCAGCUACAUCGCCGAUGUGUAUUAUGUCCCAGCCAUAAAGCAGAACCUGAUCAGCUUAGGUCAACUUUUGGAGAGAGGAUAUAGUUUUUACUCGAAGAAUUGUCAUCUGACAAUUAGAGACAACAAUGGGAGAUUAAUGGCCUACGUGAAAAUGUCCAAGAAUAGGAUGUUUCCUUUGAACAUCCAGUAUGAUGCAACAAGGUGUUUGAGUGCCAUCACCAACAGUGAAGAAUGGCUUUGGCACCUGAGGCUUGGACAUCUGAAUUUCACGAGUUGAAGAUGCUAGCAAGCAAGAAGAUGGUCAAAGGUUUGCCUCACAUUGAUCAUCCAGAUGAAGUCUGUGAAAGUUGUGUCCUCAGCAAACAUCACAGAUCCAGUUUUGCCAAAGAAGUCAACUGGAGAGCAAAGAGGCCACUGGAGUUAGUACACACAGAUGUGUGUGGCCUAAUUACGCCUAUGUCGACUGGACAAAAUAGGUACUUCCUCACUUUUACUGAUGAUUUUAGUAGAAAGACGUGGAUAUACUUUCUGAAGAGGAAGUCAGAAGUAUUCAAUUGUUUUAAAGAUUUUAAAGCAAUUGUGGAGAAGCAAACUGGUUACACGAUCAGAACCGUAAGAUCUGAUCAAGGUGGAGAAUAUACAGCAAAUGACUUUGAAGCCUAUUGUACACAACAAGGCAUCAGACAUCAACGACACCAGCUUAUACACCACAGCUGAAUGGUGUAGCAGAAAGGAAGAAUCGCACGAUUCUUGACAUGGCAGAAGUCUGCUCAAAGCAAAGAAGUUGCCCAAGCAAUACUGGGCUGAAGCUGUAUCAUGUGCAGUGUAUCUGUUGAAUCGCUGCCCAACCAGAAGUUUGCAAGGAGUCACUCCAGAAGAAGCAUGGAGUGGUCACAAACCAAGUGUUACUCAUCUACGAGUCUUUGGUUGUGUGGCAUAUGCAAAGAUCCCAGAUGCAAGAAGGAGAAAGCUCGAUGAUAAGAGCGAGAAAUGCAUCUUUGUCGGAUAUGGUGAAAGAAGGAUGGGAUACAGGCUGUAUAAUCCCAUCACGAAGAAGGUGAUUACGAGUAGAGAUGUUAUCUUUGAAGAAGAUAAAUCUUGGGCAUGGAAUGAUGAUCAAGAAGCAGUCAGAUGGAUCAACACUGAUUUGAUCCUUGAAGGUGAAGAAGUACCAACAGUACUUGUAGAAGAACCGAUUGUGCCAGCAGCUGAACCACAAAGUCCAGUAUUUAUACCAGCAGCUAAACCACAAAGUCCGGUACACAGAUUCCCUGUAUUCAACAGGAGGAACACACCAGGAGCAUCAUCAUCAACACCACCAUCAGCAUCCUCAUCAGAAAGACCAAGAAGGAUACGGAAUCUUGAAGAGUUGUACGAUACCACUCAGGUCAUGAAAGAUACAACUCUGUUUUGUUUUCAUGCAGAUAGUGACCCAUUAAGCUUCAAUAAAGCUGUCACAGAAAAGAAAUGGAUUAAAGCAAUGGAUGAAGAAAUACAUGCCAUUGAGAAGAAAGAUACCUGGAAGCUGACUUAUCCACCAGAAAAGAAGAAAGCAAUAGGUGUCAAAUGGGUCUACAAGACGAAAGCCAAAUUAGUGGAUAAAGCCUAUAAGCAGAGAGAAGGCAUUGAAAGGAGAAGUGUUCAUGCUUGUCAUGACAUCCCUCGAUUGAGUUUAAAGGGGAGAUUUGUUGAAUAAACUCAAUCCAGAAGCUCCCAGAUGGUCAAGGAAGGCAACCACCAGCUGCCACCGACCAGCCACCAACCGACCAACCACCAACCGCAGCCACCAGCUGCCACAGCCGCCAGCCGCCUUCACACUUGAAGGUUGAAUUUUCUUGUUUUGAUUUCAUGUAUAAAUAGAGUGCCCAGCCUCUGUUAAAUUGUGUGGAGAGAAUUGAGAGGAACACUAGAAAGAGAAAGAGAGAGAGAGGGCGUGUAAUUGUUAAGCUUUUGUUGUGUAAUUGUAAGCUUCGGUUUUUUGUAAUAAAACAGUGUGUUUUAUCCCCUCUGAGUAUUUCAAAGCCACCACCAGUGGUUCCUCCCACCAACACAUAUGAGUUAUUUGCAGAUGAUAAUUUUAGUGUUAUUCCUAAUCAUUUUUUUUGAUAAUUAAUGCUAAACGAUUUUGAGGUGGUUUGAAUUGAGAUCUAAAGGUUAAUUUUUUUUAAAUAUUCACUAGUUGACAUCAACCUAGAUGAUGAAUUUACAGUAGGAAUAACAAAUGUGAUAAAUAGUGUCGCACCCAAAAACUUUCAACGCGCGGCAUCGGCUGGCGAUUUAAAUCUCGUUUAUUGCGUUUGCUUGAAUUUGGUUCGUUGGAGUCGCCACCUAGUAAUUGAUUUCGGGCUACUAGGAAACCGGAUGUACUGGUCUUGUCAGAGAUUCGCGGGUAAGGGACUGGUUGUGGUUAGGGAAGGUAUUAGCACCUCUAACGCACCUACCUGAGGUAAGCUGCUUCGUGGCUUUGACGUGUUAAAGAAGUUUUAAUAAUUGUCUUUUUUCUUCGGAUUAGAAAUAUCACUUACGUAUAAGUUAAUAAUUCUUAACCGUGAUCCGAUCAAAUAUAAAUUCUUCUUUAAUAUAUUUGCAAUUUUAUCAUUAAAAAUAUGUACAAAUAAAUAAAACAAAAUACAAGCACACACAUACACUUUUAUUUUAUUUUUGUUUCUUUUCUUUUCGUUUUCUUUUCUUUUCUUUUACAUCCAUAUUUACAAAAUACAAAUUACAAAACAAAAAAAAAAUCAAAACUAAACAAAUUACAUUAAAAACACAUUAAAAUUACAAAACAAUCCCUAAAAUUCAGGAAAAACAACUCUGGGAAACAACUCAAGCCCGAAUGAACAGUAGCGGCGCGUCUUCCCACGCGCCGCCACUGGAAAACAUGGCAAACCAGGGGUGUAUGGAGCGCCUUCCUCCCCCGUUCAUUUUUCUGCCGGCGGUGAGGAUCCGGUCACCUGCAAACACAAGAGAAAUACACAAAGAGCAGUCGGUUUUAGUUUUUUAGAUCUGUUUUUAAUUUUCUUCUGCCCGUUUCGGAUCUGCUCAAUUCGUUCUCUUUCUGGUGGUUAUUCCUUCGUUCUUCAGAUGGCGGAGUGCUGGGUGGCUCGCCGGCGCGUGCUGCGGCUGAAGAGGGGAUCGUGGAUCUACCACCGGUUUGAAGGAGAUGAUGAGAGUGUUGGCCCGCGCGGGAUCUGUUCGGCCAUCGCUGCUGUUGCUACCCAAUUUUUGACCCAUGUUUUUUUAUAUAUUUUCAAAAAAUCCAAAAAAAACAUUAAGAAAAAUUUGAAAAUUUAAAAAUAUUUUUUUCUCUCUCGAGUCAACCGCAUCUCUUCACUCAAACCAUGUCGACCAGGGUAAAAAAUGAGUUUCGGGCUGUUUCGGGUGAAAAACAUCAUUUUCAACCAAAAUCGGGUUCACCGGGUCAAUACGGGUCAUACCAUGUUGACCAGGGUAAAAAAUGAGUUUCGGGUCAAAAAUAUCAUUUUCGACCAAAACCGAGUUCACCGGGUCAAUACGGGUCAUACCAUGUCGACCAGGGUAAAAAAUGAGUUUCGGGUUGUCUUGGGUCAAAACCGUCAUUUUCGACCAAAACCCGGUUCAUCGGGUCGAUACCCAUCAAAUGUUUUUUUUGGUAUUUCAUUUUUUGGCGGUUGAAACGAGAUUUUUCUAAUACUGAUUUGAAUUUUUAGUUUUACCCAUGUAAAUAUUUAUUAUUAUAUAUAAUAAAACAAAAUUAUGGUAGUUGUGUGCAAUAUUUAUUAUUAUAUAUAAUAAAACAAAAUUAUGGUAGUUGUGUGCAAUAUUUAUUAUUAUAUAUAAUAAAACAAAAUUAUGGUAGUUGUGUGCAUUAUUUCUUAUUAUAUAUAAUAAAAUAGAAUUUAAUGGUUGUUGUCCCGUGGCUAUAAAUAGCCACGAGAGGGGGGCAGAAUAAAAGAGAGAAAAAAAAGAGAGGAAGAGAAAAGAAAAAGAAAAGAAAGAAUCGAUUGAUACUAUUCCUAAUUUUUUUAGUUUUUCUUCAGGAGAGUAGGAUAUUGUCUUUUAAAAAAAACAAUUUAAAAAAUACCAAACAUAUCCCAACACAUCUCAGCCGUUAAUAUAUUCCAGGAUUUAAUCCUGUUGCGCCACGUCAUCCGGUGCACCGAGCUUUCGGUGCACCGCGCCACACAAAAUCAAAAACCAGACAAUCUGGGCCGUCCGAUCAACCUGCUGAUCUAGCCAAUCCCAGCCAUCCGAUCGUUUCAUCCAAGAUCCAACGGUUAACAUCCUUCAGCGGCACCGGUACACCAUACACGCGUCCGCACCGUAGCAAAUCUCGGAGCAUCUCUCUCCUCUCGCCGGCGACUCUCUCUCUCUCCUCAGAUCUCCACUUUCCGGCCAUAUAAAGUCUCCGAACCACCACAGAAAGGUUCCUCACAUGCCGUAAAGUAAAACCCCGGUGGUUUUCAUCGUUUUCACCGCCUCAUCUGGCCGGAAAAAGGCCGCGAUCGUCGCCGGCCACCGAAGCUUCAAGUCGUCGAUUCUCCCUCGUCAGCCAUCAACGGCCGUCGAGACCACCACCAACAGAAUCCUUGACCUCAGAUCUACCAGAACCGACCAUCGGUGGGCCAGAAAUCUCGCCGGAAAAUUUCGCCAUCGUCAACAGUGACAGCGCGUGAGACACACGCGCCGCCAGUGGCAUUUUCGUAAUUUUUCAAGAAAUCCGAGGGUAUUUCAGUCUUUUACCUAUACUGUGUCACUCAUGUAAUUUUUUUUUUGAUUGCUAAUUUUUUUUUAUUUUGUAUAUAAAUUUUCUUGCAUGUUGUAAAACAAAAAAUAAACACAAAAAAAGAAUAACAACGCGGGUCCAACACCCAUCCUAUUAUGUCAUCAUUCGUGGGUCCAAAGCCCAAUUUUUAAAUAUAGUUAUAGCCAUAUCUCAACGAUAUUAAAAUAUUUGUUUUUAUAAACAAAUAUUGUUUGUCGACACGUCUCUUUUUAUAAAAAGGACCGAUGUCAAAUAAAAAAGUUUAAAUACCAAACAAAUAUGGAUUAUGUCCAUAAUUUUGUUUUUUGGUAACUCAGACGUACUUCUCCUUUUUAGGGUUAAACGUCAAUAUUUUAGACAAGUCUCCUAUUUUUAGGGACUGAUGUCAUUUUUAACGUGUCUCCUAUUUUUUUUAGGGACCGACGUUAACCAUAAAAAAAAUAAUAAAAUUGCAAAUAAACUCAAAAUAUAAUAUCAUUUGAAACAAAUAAAAAAACACACAAGUAAGGGUAACCUUUCUUUUGAAAGGAUGUUUUAAGGGUGGUGUCUACCUUCCCUUAAUCAUAACUAACCCAGUACCCGAAUCUCUGGGACCAGUGUCUAAUUUGGGAUUUCUAGUUCCCUCAAAUUACUAGAUGGCGACUCCAAUAAAUUUUUCAUUUCCCCCAAUUAAACAAAUCUUUUUUGUUAAAUAAACAAAAAUGAGCGGAGCCGUCGCCCGACGUCGUGUAUCGACAGUUGCUGUGGAAGGAAAUCGACGGAGGAGCAGCCGUGGCUGAGGAGAUCGCCUACAGAUCGGUGGCUUGGUGGUCUGUCGGUGUCCGGAGGGAAGUCCUUGGUCGCUGCCUAGAGGCCGAAUGGAGAGGAGAGUGAACAGCGGUUGAUGGCUCCGGGUGAGGCUGGUUCGGUGGUGCUGCCCGUUGCAAGUGAGAGGGUGAGGUUUUUUUGGCUUGGGAAAUUGCCGGCUAUGGAGAUGGAAAUGAGGGGGGAACGAAGUGGCUGGGUCCGAAAAAAUCAAAGCCAAGGGGAAAGAGCUGAUGAGCGGGGGAAGCGACCGAGGAAGAAUGAAAAAAAUUCGAAGGGCUGGGGGACGGCGGCGUUUCUUUUUUUUGUGCAGGGAGAGGGGAAGGUCUCGGUGACCGGUUUCUGGUUAAGGUGAAAAAUAUGGGGGAACAGCGUGGGUAGAAGCUGAGGGAAGGGCUGUUUGGCUUUGGUUUGUGGCCGGCGGCUGUAAAAAAAAAAAAUAAUAACCAGGGGGAAAGGGGGGCUGCAGGCUUGGUAGAGAUAGGUUUAGGGUUAGGUUAUUUUUUGUAUUUUCUGAUAUUUCAAAAUUGCCCCCCUCCUUUGUGUGAGUUAAAGACCAGUAUUUAUAGGCAAAAAUGUUGCCAAGUUUUUCAACUUGGUCCCUCAACUUCUUUCUUUUUGUAAAUUUUGAUUUUUCUUAUUUUUUUGUAUUUUUUGAAAACAAGAAAUAUCAACGUCGACUCAAAUGCGGAAAAUCAAUGAUUUUAAAAAUGACGCGUGAAAAAUCGAACGCGUUUGAAAAUAUUUUAACAAUUUAAAUUCUUUUUUAGACGACGUUGAAAAUACUAAAAUGACGAAAAUAUAUUAAAAAACAUAUUUUUUGGAUUUUCUUUGUUUUUCUCAAUUUUUUGGAUUUUUGAAAAUAUAUCAAAACAUGGGUCAAAAAUUGGGUAGCAACAGAUGCCCCCUCUUUACAAUGCUUACGAAGCAAAACUCCUCAAAAUUUUGCAUAGUAAGCUUUGUACAGAAAACAAAAGGAAAAUAAUUUUAUUAUCUUGGGCAACCUGACUACACAUACUCACUCUAGUCUAUUUUCACGGGCGACCGACCCACACUCUCCCAAUAGUCUAUUUUCACGGGCGACCUGCCCACACAUUGGGUUUACCUGAGAUCCCAUCUGGCGACCUCAUUCAACUGGAACGAAAAUAUUGUGUAACUCGGUUAACCUGAAAUCCCAUCUGGCGAUUCCCUUUAACCAAAGCUACCCGAGAUCCCAUCUGGCGACCUCAUUUAACCAAAACAAAAGAAUGUGAAAAAUGGUCUCAUUGUAUGGGUGACAAACCCAAGAAAAAAAUGAUGGUCUCAUUGUAUGGGUGACGAACCCCAGAAAAAUGUUGGUCUCAUUGUAUGGGUGACGAACCCCAGAAAUAUGAUGGUCUCAUUGUAUGGGUGACGAACCCCAGAAAUAUGAUGGUCUCAUUGUAUGGGUGACGAACCCCAGAAAAAUGAUGGUCUCAUUGUAUGGGUGACGAACCCAGGAAAAAUGAUGGUCUCAUUGUAUGGGUGACGAACCCAGAUGGAAAAAAAUGUGAAGUGUGGUCGCAUUGUAAUGGGUGACCUACCCACGUGGAAAAAAUAUGAAGUGUGGUCUCAUUGUAAUGGGUGACCUACCCAGAUAAAAAAGAAUAUGAAGUGCGGUCUCAUUGUAAUGGGUGACCUACCCAAAAAUGGAAAAAUAUGAAGUGUGGUCUCAUUGUAAUGGGUGACCUACCCAGAUGGAAAAAAUAUGAUGAAGUGGUCUCGUUGUGAUGGGCGACCUACCCAGAUAGAAAGAAUGUGAAGUGCGGUCUCAUUGUAAUGGGUGACCUACCCAGAUGGAAAAAAUAUGAUGAACGGUCUUAUUAUGAUGGGCGACCUACCCAGAUGGAAAAAAUGUGAUAUGACAAGUGUGAAAAAUAGGACUUACCUGGCGAAAUCCUGAGGGGAUGACAGAAGAAGGGCUGGAAAACUUGGUGCUUCCUGAUAAUUCCCGAUCAUAGGGUUUGAAAACUCGGUGUUUCCUGACUGCAAGGGUUGAAAACUCGAGGCUUCCCGAUUGCAAGGUUGAUCUUUCCAUUUCUUUGGGAUUUUCCUAAUGGUAGGGUUCAUCCCAUCGUCCUUUUAUUCGAUGAUCAAAACCGAUUCUUUAUUAUCAUCACCACAAUGCUUCUUUCUCUUUCCACCAUCUUGCUGGACCUCAUUAAGGAUUUUCCUGUAACAAUUCAAAAAUAUGUGCAAAUGGUUUUUUUUUUUUUUUUUUUUUUUUUUUUGAGGUUAGAUGAUAUACAUGCAUCCUUACCUGUUUUGAAAUAAUAGGUCCCCCCUCUUUGAUGCUCCAUCGUCAUAGGGUGCCCUUAUUUGUAUCCCAAAGCUUUCUUUGUUCUUCCGAUGUAUUGGCUCAUUCAUGUGUUAGUCAUCCACUCAGCUGUAAAUGCAGUGCCCAUCCCGGGCUGUCUUCGACAAUUACUGCUUGCAUCGUUCAUGAAGCUUGACCCUCCCCCCAAGUGUAGUACUGCUUGAUUCAUCAUGAGCGAUUUUCUCUCCUGGCUUCUUCUGAGAAAUUAUCCUCUGAUUGAUUGUGUGCAUCAUGCCAACACCCAUCACGUUUGUUAAUCAGUCAUGAACUUGCCUUCGGUUGAAACACCAUUCAAGUAUGUAUGGUCACCAGCCUUCAUGGAACUGCCAAGUCAUCUAGACAUGUAUCUCAUACUUUGCAGUAAACAACUCAUCAUUGUAAGCGCGAUGUAUUUCUCUAUGGAUUCCUCUUAGCUUGUCAAAUCAGAUCAUGAAAAUACUUGCUUUGGCAUCAUUAAUGAUGUUCAUGUUAUCACCCAUAUUCAUGCGGUGAAGUGCGCAUUUGAGCUUCAGAAUAGAUGGUCCCAUAGUCAGUCUUGGUGGUGCAUCCUCCUUUCAGCCUUCAUGCACAUGCAACUGUGUGAUAACAUCGUUCAAAAGUCAUAACCAUGUUGAAGAUGAUAAACCAAGAUGAAGACAUGAAAAUAUCCUUCUAGUGCAUCGUUUCUCAUCAAUUGCUGCUGAAGUUCACUAAAUCAUGGAUUGUCUUUGAACAACAUUGCCCCUAGUUGAUCUGAACAUGCUCAUUCUUUUGUUUACAACCAAAUGGCUUUUGUGAAUGUCAGGAAGGACUUUGAUGGACUUUGAUGAUUCAUCAUGUGAUUCUUUCUUUGCCCCCAGCUGAUCUGGAUACUGUUUGCUUUCCCUCUUAAGGUCCACUGUAUUGCCCCCAGGUGGUCAACGUUUCAAAGAGUGUCGAGAAAUGUUGAUGUCAUUUUUUGUCAAGAAUUUUGCAAACUCAAUUGAUGUUCUUGUUUGAAAAUCUUUCUUGUUCUGGAAUCAAAUCUCAACAUUUCAACGAUCAUGUCUAUUCAAGUAUAAUUGUUGAAAUGAAAUCAAAGAGAUAUCAGUUUUUGAAAAGUUAUUUUUGAAAUUCGAGCUCCUUUGGUCAAAGACCCAACACACUAUUCACUGCAGUCCUUUGAUUGUCUUGUAUUUUGAAAACAGAAAUGACCCGUUGUAAGAUUAAAAUGACUUUUUCAUGGUUCUGUCCACUUUAAACUCUGAUUUUGGGUAUAUCUUUUGAUGGUAUGGUGAGGUGAUAUUUUUGUGAAUUUCAAAACAAGAUGCUCAGGCUUGAUAAAGAAAGGUUGUUUCUCUUCUAGUAUUUAUUUUAUCAGCAUGCAUAAUAACCAGUAGCUUAAUUCAUGAAGUCACGACCCUUAUAAAAACUCUUCAAGUUUUGAGAGCGCCAUUUAUGGUUCAAAUUGCUUGCUUGAUUAAAAAGGGCUUUUAAAAGCACGUAAUGCAGGCUAUGGUUCAUGGCUAUGAAAGAAAGGAAUUUCAAAGGCUCAAAAGGUGUUUGAGGGUUUCAAAGACCUAGGAUCAACAUCAACUAUUCAUCAACUCUUUCUAUUGUUGUCUUUGUAGGAAACGACAUAUAACCUUGUUAACCUCAAAGUUCAGAUUUCUUAACAUAGGUCAUAAUGCAAAUCCAACCUUUCCUUGAUGACUAACCAACCUUAAUCAUCUGAUAACAUCAAGAGCUUUAUAAUGGAUACCAAAAUUCAACGCUUAUAGCUUAGUCUUUUUCUGGUAUUGACUUUUGUUGUGCCUUUCCUUGAUUGAAAUUUCUUUUGCUCUUCAUAAACUUGAUAGGCGUUCUCCUUCCUUUAUCUUUGACUUGUAUUUAAGUGAAGGCAAUUUCAACUUCCUUUUUUUCAUUCUCUUUUUUUUUUCAUAGCCUUCCUCAAAAUUUUCUUAUAUGCCCCCAGUCUAUGUGUUUUCUUUUAGCUCUCUCUCAAUCAUUGGACCUUUGUUAUAAGCCUUCCCCUUUAUCCAUUAAUUAUAUCAAUGUCUCCAAAAUAUCUCUCAUUUGCCCCUAGUGUGGGGUGUGAUCCUAGUCAGGGUUUCUUUUUGAAAGAAAAUAUUUUACCAGGCUCAAAAUGGGACUGCAAGGGAUAUAAUCUUUAGAAAGUGAAGGGAUAUCAAAGAUGGCCUUUUCUCAUUUCAAGCAAGGUCGGUUAAACCGAUAAAUUUUGACCUCAUCCAGUGUAAUGAUUGGACUUGUAAGAGUCAUGAUUCACGAGUCCAUAACUAUUGAAUCCACUACAUGUCAUUAUGCAUACUGCUAAAACUUAGCUAUAUGAUGUGUGGUUCAGUUUCAAAAGGUAUGAGUUCAAAAUUGUUUGGUCACCUCAUGUCAUUUUCAAGCAUAGAGUCAUUUCUGUAAUCAAAACACUUUUAAUCUUCCGGAUUGAUUAACCUUUAUCGCAUGUUGGAGUUUGAUCAAAAUAUUUUGUCAGAAUAAAAUGUUAAACAUCUGUUGAUUUCAAAACAACAAAGAGACAAAAGCAAGGCAUGUUUCGUUGAAGGAUGAGAUGUGAUCCCAAAACAAAAUGCAGAAUUCCAAAACAAUAUGAUUGACUGUUCAUCACCAUUCUUGAAUCAGCUUUUCUGGCAAUAUCUGUGUUUUGCCAAGCAUUUUCGAUCACAUGUUUCUGAAGAUGUUCGGGGAACAAUAUAGCCAAUGACACCCUCUUCAACGACUCCACUUGUCUCUUGCUCACCAACUUUCAGACUCUUCUUGCAAUUCUUGAAACUGUUCACUUGAAAUGGUUGAGGACCCCACCAUGACAUCACAUCUCUUUCUGGAUUAACCACCUAGAAAUUGGUGGUUGCAUGGGAUUUGUCGGAGUCAAGCAAAAUUCUGGAAUCUGGCAGAUGCUGGUCGACAAACUUAAGUGGCAGAGGAAUGUCCCAUCUUGGCAAAGACAUUUGAGCAAUUGAUGCUACCGUGAGACCUGGCUAUACCACAUAAUUAAGGGUUCACACCGUCAAAGUCAUCUCCUGAUUCAUCUCAUCAUUGUUCUGGAAUCCAUGGCAGAUCCUUCAAUCUUUCUCUUCAUAGCUUGUUCAAUUUUCGGCAAAUCCUCACAACUUAUUUCAAUCUUCCAAUGUUGUGUUGGUUGAGGAUUGUUAGAAAACUUUCUAACAGCUUGGUAAUCUUGGCAGCGCCCAGAAACUUGUAGUAUCGCCACUACCGUGUGGAAUCACACAUUGUCUCUAUUGGAAGAGCACCUGAUGAAUCUAAAACUCCUUUGUCCCCUCUUCGAUUUCUCACUGACAGUGCAGCAAACAAACACCUAUAGAGGAAGUCCUGCUCUGUUGAAGUUUCAGUAUUCUUCAUGUUUUUCAGUCUAGGCAUGUCUCUUCUCUCUACUUUUGCUUUUAAUACUGACACUGUUGGAGGAAAAUCAUAGAUGAUCUGAAACUACUGUAUUCCUUCUUGGAUUUCCCACUUGCGGAUCCACAAACAGAUUCCUGCGAGAGAGCUCUACGUUGAAGUUUGAUGUCUGCUCGUAUUUUUCAGACCAGGUCUGGCUCUUCAACCUACUAAGAUGUCUUCGUGCUGAAACUGAUGAGAGAAAUAUUUGUAGCAUAUGCAACUUAUAAAUCCCCUCUUGCAUUCCCAAUUUGCAGAGCCAUAAAUGGAUUUUAUAGAGGAGCUCUGCCACAUUGAAGUUCAGUGUUAAUCAUGGUUUUUCAGACCAUCUUGUGCUGCUGAACUGGAAUUGAGCUCAUAAUGGGGUAACUUCAAAGCAGACUAAUGCACCAUGUACAUGAGGCUAGUGGUCGUUUGGUUCCAUUAGAUGAUGUGGAGGCGAUGAACACUUAACAGUGCAACUGGACAAGAAUCAGAGUUGUCAUUAGUUGAUGACUGAAGGCAUUGUUGUUUUGUUCAUGACGGAAAAGGAGAGAUACACUUCAAUUGGAUGAACAAGCAGUGUUCCCACAGAAACUGUGCAGACACUCUCUUUCCAUUUGAUGCUCAACACUUGUUCGAGCAGAUCUGAGUCGCUACUUCACCUUGAUGCUCUCAACCUAUAUCUGAGCCUCUUUGUUCACUUCCAUUCAUUUUUCUUCAAUCGUGCAGCACAGCUUGUAUGGGGACCUACUUUCACCCGGUACAUGCAUGAUAAAUGUAUGAACAUGUAAUCUAUAUGAUGAACUCACCCUUCGAGAGGUGACAAUAUGGUCGUAACUCUUGUAUGAUGGACAAGAAUCGUGAUUUUUGCCCAAACUCUACAAUGAAAAUUUUCGGAGCAACGGCCAAUGUGUCACCCACAAGUCUUGAGUUCAAGAUGCUUCAAGAAGGGUUUGCCCUUAUGCAAAAAACGAUAGCACAUACAACCUAAGGACAGGUUCUAUUCAUUAUGUGAACAUGGGUAGGUUUUCUAUCUGGUCUCAAAAGGGUCUCAUAUCUGCCCAGUGACGUUCUUCGUAAAGACAGUAUGGGGGCGUUGCAAGGAAUGGUUAAGGCACGUAUACCCACCAUUACCAAGCAGGCACUCAGAUAUGAGUUGGGUGUUUCACGCAUCUGAACCCUGACCAAUAGUCUUAGGGCAGAUCGCUAGUUCCCCACCUAACCUAGAAGCUUGUGUGUGCUUUCAAAAAUAAAUACAGGUGAUGCAUGAGACAAUUCUAUAAAAUGCAUGGAAAUAAAUAUUAACAAAAAAGAUAAAAAUGCAAAAACUUAAACACAUCAAAUACACAAAGCUUAGUCCAAAUCGAAAAAUACCUUCCCAGUGGAGUCGCCAUUCUGUCGCACCCCAAAAAAAUCAGCGCGCGGCAUCGGCUGGCGAUUUAAUCUCGUUUUUGCGUUUGCUUGAAUUUGGUUCGUUGGAGUCGCCACCUAGUAAUUGAUUUCGGGCUACUAGGAAACCGGAUGUACUGGUCUUGUCAGAGAUUCGCGGGUAAGGGACUGGUUGUGGUUAGGGAAGGUAUUAGCACCCCUAACGCACCCUACCUGAGGUAAGCUGCUUCGUGGCUUUGACGUGUUAAAGAAGUUUUAAUAAUUGUCUUUUCUUCAGAAAUUAGAAAUAUCACUUACGUAUAAGUUAAUAAUUCUUAACCGUGAUCCGAUCAAAAUAUUAAAUUCUUCUUUAAUAUAUUUGCAAUUUUAUCAUUAAAAAAUAUGUACAAAUAAAUAAAACAAAAAUACAAGCACACACAUACACUUUCACUAUUUUAUUUUUGUUUCUUUUCUUUUCUUUUUCUUUUCUUUUCUUUUACAUCCAUAUUUACAAAAUACAAAUUACAAAAACAAAAAAAAAAAUCAAAACUAAACAAAUUACAUUAAAAACACAUUAAAAUUACAAAACAAUCCCUAAAAUUCAGGAAAAACAACUCUGGGAAACAACUCAAGCCCGAAUGAACAGUAGCGGCGCGUCUUCCCACGCGCCACCGCUACUGGCGGCGCGUGGGUUCACGCGCCGCCACUGGAAAACAUGGCAAACCAGGGGUGUAUGGAGCGCCUUCCUCCCCCGUUCAUUUUUAUGCCGGCGGUGAGGAUCCGGUCACCUACAAACACAAGAGAAAUACACAAAGAGCAGUCGGUUUUAGUUUUUUAGAUCUGUUUUUAAUUUUCUUCUGCCCGUUUCGGAUCUGCUCAAUUCGUUCUCUUUCUGGUGGUUAUUCCUUCGUUCUUCAGAUGGCGGAGUGCUGGGUGGCUCGCCGGGCGUGCUGCGGCUGAAGAGGGGAUCGUGGAUCUACCACCGGUUGAAGGAGAUGAUGAGAGUGUUGGCCCCGCGCGGGAUCUGUUCGGCCAUCGCUGCUGUGGAAGGAAAUCGACGGAGGAGCAGCCGUGGCUGAGGAGAUCGCCUACAGAUCGGUGGCUUGGUGGUCUGUCGGUGUCCGGAGGGAAGUCCUUGGUCGCUGCCUAGAGGCCGAAUGGAGAGGAGAGUGAACAGCGGUUGAUGGCUCCGGGUGAGGCUGGUUCGGUGGUGCUGCCCGUUGCAAGUGAGAGGGUGAAGUUUUUUUGGCUUUGGAAAUUGCCGGCUAUGGAUGUUGCUACCCAAUUUUUGACCCAUGUUUUUGAUAUAUUUUCAAAAAAUCCAAAAAUAGAGAAAAACAAAGAAAAUCCAAAAAAUAUAUGUUUUUAAUAUAUUUUCGUCAUUUUAGCAUUUUCAACGUCGUUUAAAAUUUUUAAGGGUCUUUCGAAUGCGUUCGACUUUUCACGCGUCAUUUUCAAAAUAAUUGAUUUUCCGUAUUUGAGUCGACGUUGAUAUUGCUUGUUUUCAAAAAAAAAUACAAAAAAAACAAGAAAAAUCAAAUUUUACAAAAAAAGAAAGUUAAGGGACCAAUAUUGAAAACUUGUCAAUAUUUUUUGCCUAUAAAUACUGGUGUCCAACACUUGCAAAGGGGGGGCUAAUUUUGCAAUUAAAGAAGACAACCAAAAAACCCUAAGGGCUGAACAUUUUUUUCAUCUCCUGCACCCUAGGCAGCCGCCCCCCCUCCCCUGGAUUUUCUUCUCUGCGCCCUCAACUGCACAGCCGGCUCCCUCUUUUCCUUUCCUUUCCCCCUGCCCAGCACCAGCUCCCACAGCACCGUUUCCCUCCAGCUUCUUCACCCAAAACCAUCCUUCCAUCUCCAGUUUUCUGCUCACACAAGACAGCCCCUCACCUCCUCUCUCUUACUCCGAUCUUCACUCAUCAACUGGCCAUAGACCAACAACAGCCACGAAUUAGCUCCCCCUUCCACAGAUCCUCUCUCAGCUGCUCCCUUCUCCAGCCGCAGCGGCGCCUUCUUCAUCCGGCAGCACCCAGCAGAGCCUUCCUUCUCCAGCUCCUCCCUCAUAAAUCGCCCUCCACCAAGCUACACAGCAGCAGGCUCCUCCACACCGAAGCCCCGAACACAACAGCAGCAAAGGACAGCCCUCCUCCAGCCGUUCCCCCCAGCUUCAGCAGUGCCCACAGACCGGCCACCAGCAGCAGCAGCCGAUCUCCUUCACCGUCGUUUGCCAGCCUCCAGCACUCCUUGCUGCCAGUACAUGGAACAAGGGAGAAGAGGAUGAGCAGCAGCAGCUGAUCUGCUACGAAGCAGACCCAAAAGAGGCCGUGGCAGAUCUAAAAAGGGAGAGCCGGAAUUGGUUGUGUUGUUGGUUUUACUUUGCAGGUGACUGGGAGAUGCACUGCCGGUACGAACGAGAAGAGAAGAAGGAGACAAUCCCGAUCUACCAGCUUGCUGGUCUUCACCGGCGGUGGGCGUGAGGCCCACGCGCCGCCACUGUUCCCGCGCCCAGAAAACUUCCUUGACACUGUUCCGACUAUAGAGGGCUAUCCCUGUAAUUUCAGAUUGUUUUAGGGCUAAUUUUUGUAAUUGUAAAAAUUGUUUAAUGUUUUUUUUUGUUUAGUUGACUUUUUAUAAUUUGUAAUGUUGAUGUAACAAAAAAAGAAAGAGAAAGAAAAAAAAAGUAAUAAAAAGAAAGUGUGUGUUGUUUUUUUUAUUUAUUUAUGAAUUAUAAAAAAAAAAGGACGAAUUAAUUGUUAAUUUAAAUAUGGUUAAAUAUCAAGGACAAAUAAAAUCAAGUUGUAUUUUCUACGAAAAUGUAAGACAAGUUUCUACAUAUAUUCGGGAAUUCAAUAACUGAUUUAUUCAAGCCUUAGAAUUUAAUUAAUAUUGACAAAGAAUUGAUUUAAUUUAAAUAUGUUUAAAUAUCUCAAGGACAAAUAAAAUCAAGUUGUAUUUUCCAUGAAAAUGUAAGAACAAGUUUUUACAUAUAUUCGGGGAUUUAAUAACUGAUUUAUUCAAGCCUUAGAAUUUAAUUAAUAUUUUAAAUUUUCAAAUCACAUUAGAACACAAAGCAGCUUACCUAAGGUAGGGUGUGUUAGGGGUGCUAAUACCUUCCCUAACCACAACCAGUCCCUUACCCGCGAUCUCUGAUAAGACCAGUACAUCAGGUUUCCUAGUAGCCCUCAAUAAAUUACUAGGUGGCGACUCCAACGAACGAAUUCAAAAGAAAACGCAACAAACAAUGAAAAAUCGCCAGCCGACGCCGCGCGCAGGAUUUUUUUGGGGUGCGACAAUGGAGAUGGAAAUGAGGGGGGAACGAAGUGGCUGGGUCCGAAAAAAUCAAAGCCAAGGGGAAAGAGCUGAUGAGCGGGGGAAGCGACCGAGGAAGAAUGAAAAAAAUUCGAAGGGCUGGGGGACGGCGGCGUUUCUUUUUUUUGUGCAGGGAGAGGGGAAGGUCUCGGUGACCGGUUUCUGGUUAAGGUGAAAAAUAUGGGGGAACAGCGUGGGUAGAAGCUGAGGGAAGGGCUGUUUGGCUUUGGUUUGUGGCCGGCGGCUGUAAAAAAAAAAAAAAAACCAGGGGGAAAGGGGGGCUGCAGGCUUGGUUGAGAUAGGUUUAGGGUUAGGUUAUUUUUUGUAUUUUCUGAUAUUUCAAAAUUGCCCCCCUCCUUUGUGUGAGUUAAAGACCAGUAUUUAUAGGCAAAAAUGUUGCCAAGUUUUUCAACUUGGUCCCUCAACUUCUUUCUUUUUGUAAAUUUUGAUUUUUCUUAUUUUUUUGUAUUUUUUGAAAACGAGCAAUAUCAACGUCGACUCAAAUGCGGAAAAUCAAUGAUUUUAAAAAUGACGCGUGAAAAAUCGAACGCGUUUGAAAAUAUUUUAACAAUUUAAAUUCUUUUUUAGACGACGUUGAAAAUACUAAAAUGACGAAAAUAUAUUAAAAAACAUAUUUUUUGGAUUUUCUUUGUUUUUCUCAAUUUUUUGGAUUUUUGAAAAUAUAUCAAAACAUGGGUCAAAAAUUGGGUAGCAACAAAUAGCAUCCGCACAAGACUAGUUUCAUGGAAAGGUAAGUUCUAGCGAAAUGCAUUCACGGUGUUAUCAUAUGGAAUUUUAUGGGGGUAUUUGGACUGCAAGAAAUAAGCAUGUUCAAAGAUAAAAAGCUUGAUUGAAAUACAUUGUUUCAACUGAUACUCCAUCGUCUAGAACUUUCAUUAAAGGUCCGGAAUAAUAAUUUCUCAUACACGAAGAAUAAUUUGAUUUAAGGUCUCCAAGGCAUUUUAACAAGGUCUAAUAAGUGAUGAGUUCUUGUUUAUUAGUAGCAACUUCUUUGUAACUUCUUUUUAUGUUUUUCUCUAUAACUUCCUGUUUAUUAUAGCCUGAAUGAUAUGUAGUUUUAUCAAUAAUUAACUCGAUUGAUGAGUUGACGUCAUUCAUCAAACGCAAAUUAAGCUCUUAAUUAAUGAGAGGAAAAUGUAGGGUUGGAAAAAAGUUUGGAAGUGAUAAUCAGUACAUACCAAGCCAAAUAAGAUUGUCUCAGGUACUAAAUAGGAUUGUGUCCGGUGUAGUAAUAAAGUUUCUACCUUCUAUGGUAUAUAAAAUGUCUGACCACUUCAACAACAUGUCACGUAAAGAGUGCAUUAAUGUCAUUAUCCUAGAAAUUUUUCCCACACUUUAUUUAUUUUGCUAAACUUUAUAUACUAAAUUAUAAUCAACUCCUAGAUAUUUUACACGUAAAAUUAUAGACCUCGUCCACUUUGUGCCUCUAUAAAUAGCUUAACCUCGACCUUAUCUCCACACAUCACAAGAAAUUCCUUUCUCUCUUUGCAUAUCAAUAUCAAAACUCCCUUCAGGAGUAGCGAAAAUGAGAAGCAAUAUACUACUUACCAUUAUCUUAGCCAUAGUUCUUGCAGGAGCCCUGCCCAAGAAUGUGGUAGAGGCUCAGAAUUGUGGCUGUGCUGCAAACCUUUGUUGCAGUCAAUAUGGCUACUGUGGCACCGGCGAUCCCUAUUGUGGUCAGGGAUGUAAACAAGGGCCCUGUUAUUCAUCGCCUACGCCUACUACUCCUAGUGGGAGUGGUUCUGUUGCUGAUAUUGUUACGCCUGCUUUCUUCAAUGGUAUAAUCAACCAAGCUGCUGCAAGCUGUGCUGGGAAGAAUUUCUAUACAAGAAAUGCAUUUCUCAGUGCUGUCAAUUCAUAUUCUCAGUUUGGUAAACUUGGUUCAGCUGAAGCUUCUAAGCGUGAGAUCGCAGCUUUCUUCGCUCAUGUUACUCAUGAGACUGGACGUAAGUUCCUCUUCCAUCCCUAAUAACAUUUCUCGCAGCAUUCGAAUAUGGAUUUUGUCAACAAAGUGAACUGUCUAAUAAGUGUGUUUCAGAUCCUCGUGUGUAAACUGACAAGAGAAAAUGUCAUAUUUUGCAGACUUCUGCUAUAUAGAAGAGAUAAAUGGUGCUUCCGGUGACUACUGUGAUGAAAACAACAGGGAAUACCCAUGUGUUGCAGGCAAGAAAUACUAUGGCCGCGGACCACUCCAACUAUCAUGGAACUACAACUAUGGGCCAGCCGGAAGGAGCAACAACUUUGAUGGAUUGAACAAUCCUGACAUUGUAGCAAGGGAUGCGGUUGUGUCAUUUAAGACAGCCUUAUGGUUUUGGAUGAACAGAGUUCGUCCUGUUGUAAGCCAAGGUUUUGGAGCAACUAUUCGAGCCAUUAAUAGUAUAGAAUGCAAUGGUGGAAACGCAGGUGCUGUUCAGGCUCGUGUUAGAUAUUAUAGAGAUUAUUGCAGUCAACUCGGCGUUUCUACUGAGAAUAACCUCACUUGCUAGGUUUUUAAAUAACCUGAGUUGUUAUGCCAAGUUAUGGCUAAUCAUAUGAAAAUAAGAUGUACUGCUAUGAAACAAAUUGAAGAGAAAUAAAGUUUAUAAUUAUCGUUAUGUCUCGUAUAGUUUUUCAGUAAUUUUGAUGUCCCUUUUCAUAUUUGUUUUUAUUACUUGGAAAAACCUCCACUUUACUUCGCCAUAAAUUUGUGUUGAAAUUCAAUUUACGCCUUGUACGUAUUUUAUUUUCCAUCAAUUGAGUCCAUUAUAACCAAAAGAUUGUCCAUCCAACCCAAUAUAUUAGCAAUUUGAAAUUGAAAUCACUAUAUGUGUGCAUAUUCAUUUAAUUUAUUCUUCCAUUUCCAUAAUACAUUUUUCAAAUUUAUGUUAAUAUCCAUAGUAGGAUCUACUCUAAUUAAUUACUUCUCGAGUAAAACAAAAUUUCAUGAUUAUGACAUUUUUUCUUUUUAUGUUUUUGAAAAUGAAAGGUUGUGUUGCCUUGCCUAUUAUGUUUAUAAUACAUGUUCAGCUUACUUUUCAUCUUUCAAAUUUGGUUGAUGCAGAGUGUUUUUUAAAAUGAUUUUUAUUUAAAAAUAUAUUAAAAUUAUAUUUUAUUUUUCAUAUUAGUAUAUUCAAACAAUAAAAAAAACUUUUUCAAAAACAAAUUAAAAUUUAAAAAAUACAGUGCAACCGCACUUCUAAACAACACCGAAGUUAAAAAGAAACUAAGUUGUGGUUUUUUAGAUGUUAAGAGCCUAUUUGAGAACACGGUGUAAACCACAUUCUUUUAAAUUUAAAAAAAAUUGCUAAAAUUUAUUUUUUUAUGUCUUGAGAUUUUUUAAUGUGUUAAUGUUAAAAUAAUUUUAAAAAUUAAAAAAUAAAAAAUAUAUAUUUUUUAAAAAACAACUUUAGACUGCAACAACUAUUGAAAUUUUAAACAGUCCAUAAGAAAUUGAAUUGAAUUGUACAGGAUCUUUGCCAUGGAAUCACUAUUGGGAUUAUUUAGUGGUUCAAAAUCAUGUUGAGCUAGCCGACGUUGAAAAUCAUCAAUAUUAAUGGAGAGACUUUUCAAAGAAGUUGUCAAGUCCAUUUCUGACAUGAUAGCAAUUAUGGAUUGGGGUCCAUGUCCAUGUACCAACAUUGUAUAGAUCAUGAACCAAGUUUAAUGUCAAAGGAUCGAUUUGCCAGGAAAAAAAAAUUGAAAAAUGAAAAAUUAGGCAACUUGCUGUGAUUUCCUUUUGCUUCCCUAUUAUCGUAUUGUUCGGCGGUGCUAGGCCAUGUGCUUGGCUCACUUGACCGGCAGCACUAUAUGUUGACCAAAGCAAAUAUGAUCUUUUCCAAGAUAUACGAUAUGGCCGCAGUGUGGUCAAAUAUCUUGGUAGUGUUGAUUAAUGGAGAGCUAAAGCCACAGCCCACCCAUUUCUUAUCCACCUAGCCAGAUGAGGAAGAAACGAUGGCUCCUAUUUUACUUAUUUUUCAGCUGCAAGAGCUGAGUUGUAGUAAGGUGGAAUGAGUUGACAUGACAUGUGUUGGAAUGAGCUGUAUCUAUCCCAACUCGUUGCAUGUUUUGGUUAUAAAAUCUUUUUAAAAGUAUUUCUAAGUUUUUUUUUGUUAUAUAUUUUUAAUUUUUAUUAAUUUUUUAGUGUUUUAAAAUUAUUUUGAUGUAUCGAUAUUAUAAAAAAAAUUUAAAAAAUAAAAAUUUAUUAUUUUAAUGUAUUUUUAAAUAAAAUAUACUUUUAAAAACAAAAUUUAAAUUAGCAGUAAAAACACAACAUAAAUGUGACAAAACACAGUGAGCUAAACACCAAGAGAAAGAGUGUUUAUCCAACCUAGUUAAAUCUUAGGCGUCGAUUCUGGGCAUCCAUUUUAAUCCUGACCGUUAGCUACAAAAACUGGAAAAAGAAAGGAGCACUAGAAGACGGCUUCAGUUUUAUCUUUUUCUAUCCUUUCAUUUAUGGUACGUUGAAAGGUUGUCUUCUCUAUCUUAAAAAUAUAUAGGGAGGGGACGUAGAUUUCGGGUAAUUGGCUAGUCAACGUCGGCUAUGCCCAUACUGUGCCAUUGGGCGCCACUAUCCUUCCAUUUAUGGUAAUUGACUAUUCAACGUUUUUCUUUUCACAUAGUUGUGGGGUGUCUACUCUUCGAAUGGGGUUCUUCUAGUCCUAGAUAGGAUACUACCUUUUCUUUCGUUAGGAGAUAGGAUUUGUCAUACUUUUUCCCUUCAAAUGCUGAAAUUAUUAAAAAAUAAUAUAAAUUAAAUCUCAUUUAAUAACUUAAAUUUUUUGAUUGAAAUGAUUUUUUGAUAUUUUUAAAUUUUUUGAUUGAAAUGAUUUUUUGAUAUAAUAUCAAUACUUUGAUAACUAAAUGGUCACGAGUUUGAAUUUCACAAUCUCUAUUUAUUUGAUAAAAAUUAAACACAGGAUAAUGUAGACAUGUAUAAGUUUUAAGCUCAAAAGACUUUUAUAUGAGGGAAUGUGUUAGAAAAUAAUAUAAAUCAUAUUCUAGAACUUUAUUUAAUAAUUUAAACUUUUAGAUUGAGAUGGUUAUUUGAUAAAAUUGACAUGAUAAGGUACCAAUUAAGUCUGUGUCUUUAUGUGGACAAGAUUUCUAUUUUCUUGCCUAACUACAAAGUUUACUUGAAAUGGUAGUGAUUGAUUAUCCUUUCCUAGUUGUUUGAAAAGUAAUACGCACGUGCCAGCAAUGGCCCUGCAGGUAAUGGCGCCACAAAUGGUUUGGGAAAUUAAACUCCUUGCCCUCUCUAGGGCCUAGAUUUGUCUCCGCUGAUAGUGUGCUAAAGAAUUUAAAAGAAUUGGUAUUAGUAUUGUGAGUUUGAAGAAAAUUAGAGAAAUGAAAAAAAAAUGAGGGCGGCUAAAUUAUGGCUCUGUAAUUGGCUCUUCCAUAGACUGUAGUGGUCAGCGCCUUUGGAUUGCAAACAUCUAUGCUUCUAGAAAUCUUGAACUUCCAGUUUGUUAAGAGUUUUUAUCUAGUCACCCACGAUGGUCUGUAAUGAACUGAACAACCUAGUCAUUGAGAAGCCUAUAACACUUUAUGCAAGUCUCCAAGUGAACAAAUUUGCAGAUUAUGCUUGUCUCCUAGCAUUGAAAAUUCCCACGUUCGUAAAGCUUUUGAGGAUACUAUGAAGCUCAUCCCAUAUGAUUCCCAUCUAUCGAGUGCUGUAACAUCACAAUUCAAAGUUAAAACUUCAUGUUGAUUCAAAAAAAACUAAUGUUAAGAUAUCCAAAAGCCUUGAAAUGAUUUGAGAAUUUCAAGUGUUAGACAAAAAAUCCACCAUGAGUGAUUGGAUGUUCAAAUAUCUUAUGCGCUGCGACAAGGUCGGAUGUUAGAAAUAUGGGUGAACUCUCCCUCCAGUUUUUAUAAAACACUUUAAAAAAAAAAAAAAUCAUGAGGUUGCCUUCUUCACUCUCGCCUGUAAUAUGGGCUCUCAAAAUUGAAUGUGGAGCUGGAACCACUCGUCUCAUUAUCUUCAAGAUCUUCUAAAUCCUUAUUUAUUAAGUAAUGGUCACUUUUGAAACUUCCCUUUACAAAUCUUUAUUCACUAAGUUAUGACAGUUUUGUUCUUGGGCAGAACCUCCUCAACCAUAAUUAAUUCCCCUCUGCCAUAACCAUGUUUUGCGUUGUGAUCUCUAGCCAUAGUAGUUCAGCAACAUUAAAAAAAAGAAGGAACAAUAGGAUAUGAUACCAACUUGCACAAUUUAAACUAAUUAGACUGGGAAUAAAAAAAAAACAUGGGAAGAUAGAAUUCACCAAAAGGGCCAAACAAGAACCCUAGCUACAUUGUUAUUUUCAGAAUAUAUUCCUCCACCAAAAUCUACCUCAUAAAAAUAUUUUCAAUAACUUAAAUAGGUCUAUCUUCUCGAUCAAAAUGGAAAAAAUAAUCUUACAUGGAUAGAAAAAUUAAAAGCUAAAAUUUGAAAUAAAUAAAAACUAAAACUAAAAAAAAUAGCAAUUUAUAAAUCUAAUUUGAAAGUCUUGAUAACCUCAACGAGCCAAUAUUUCACUAUAGAAUAGAUCUGCAUAAUCUUUUAAUGAAAUUUAAAUAUGAUCUAAUAAUUAAAUAAAAUAUUAUGUUUAUUUUUAUCAGAAAUGUUAUUUGGAGUGACUAAAUCUUUUCUUGAGUUUGAACUUUUUAUUUAAUCCAUAAAUGUAUUUAUUAGGUAUUUUAUAUACUCUGAUUAUUAUUCUUGUACAUUAAUAUUAGGAAUAACCACAAUAAAUAUUGGUAUGGGAAAUUAAACUCCUUAGAAUUACCUUACCCAACUCUGAAGCCCUAGAUGUACAUGGCGUGGUAAAGGAUUUAAAAGAUAUGGUAUUAGUGUAUGGGAAAGAAAUUAAACUGAGAACUUGGCUCUGCCUCGGUGCUCAGUACCAUUCGAUCUCUAACAUCUAUGCAUGCUUCUAGAAAUUUUGAGCUCCUAGUCCGUUCAAAGUUUUUUUUAGCAGCCUUCCUUGAUGAUCUAUAUGAACCGAACAAUCAAGUCAUUGAGAAGCCUACAACACUUAGCCUAGUCCCUAACUUUGUGGCGCAUUGAGUGGAAGAAAUUUUCAACGUUUGACUCCAAGUAGUCACUCAUUUACGCUGUUUAGAAUCCAAGUUAAAUUUCCAUGUUGAUAAAAAAAAUAAAGUUAAGAUGGCAAAAUUCGCUGAAUCCGUACUUCAUGAAAUUUUAAUUAUUACAUAGGAAAAUACAUGUCCAAAGUUAAAAACACAUUAUAUUAUUCAAUGAACUGUAAUAUAAAUUGAUAGUUGAAAUAUAAGGUUGUGUUGCACUCAUGAAAUGAAAUGAUAGAAAGAUCUGAUUUAGUGUUAGGUUUUAAGCCAAUAGAAUUAGUUUGAAAGGAUAAUAUUAAUUGUUUUUUAAAAUGAUUUUUUGUUUGAAAAUAUAUUUAAAAAAUAUAUUAUUUUUAUAUUAGGACAUCAAAAUAAUAUAAAAAUAACAAAAAAAUUAAUUUAAAAUAAAAUAAAAUUAAUUUUUUAAAAAAUACUUUUAAAACCUAAACAAUUUUCUCAGUCUUGUCUUCUAACAUAAAAAUAUAUAUAUAUAUUAUGAAGCCAACAGUAUCAAUCACAUAAUCCAUUAUCUGUCAGAGUCUCGGUACUUGAGGGAUUUGAUCCCAUAUGACACAAGCCUGGUGACUUUACUAAUCAGCUCUUUUCUAGGUUUCUUGCGGGUUUUUUUUAUCAGUAAUCCUUCUCCAAUUUGUCGUCUCAAACUGGUUUUUAAUAUCUAUUUGAUGAUCAAAGAAAAGAAAAGGCCUAAUCAUCUAACAAGUAGUUUUAAUUCUAUUUCUGUAUAUUUCUACUUAAAAUAUAUUAAAAAAUAAUAUAAAUCAUAUAUUAAAACUUUAUUUAAUAAUUUAAGUUAUUAAGUUAAGAUGAUUCUUUAACAUGAUAUCAAAGUAUUGAUGACCAAGUGGUCAUGAGUUUAAAUCUCAUUAUCUCUAUUCAUUUGAUAAAAAAUAAGCACAAGGUAAUAUGGUCUUGUGGAAGUUUAAAGCCCAAAGAGCUUUCAAUUGAAAGGGUGUGUUAGAGAAUAAUAUAAAUCAUAUCUUGAGAUCUUAUCUAACAGUUUAAACUUGUGGGUUAAGAUGAUUUUUUGACAGAGUAAAAAUAUAAGCAUAGUAAUAAAUAUCUUCCAAGUUUAUUACUGCGGAUCAACUCAACAACCUACCAAUUAAAUAUUUUAUUUUAUUUUAAAUUGGUUUUUUUAUGAAAAUAAUAUAAAAUAUUUUAAAAAAAUCAUAAUUUAGAAUGACUUGCCAACCCUUCUACGAACCGAAUCUCGGAUUGGAUUGAUAUCUAGUUUGUAGUUUAUAACUAAGAACGUGAGAUGUAUCUCUUGCCAUCAAGGCAUUUAGAAUUUUCAUAUCUAUCGCUAUAAGGUGCUUUGUAGUUUCAUAAAACUUUGCUUAGUGAACCUACUUUUGUCGUUAUAAGUCAUCUAAGCAGACCCGUAUUCUACACGCACAAAUAUGCAUAAAAAUCUACAUGCUAUCCUGCUAUAUAUGGCCCAAACCAAACCUUAUUUUUCCAUCCAGAUUUUUUACCCUUAAUUAAAUAAAAAAACACCUUGCUUACCUUAUGUUUUCUCUUAACAUGGGAAACAAUGUACUAUCCAUCAUUCUGGCUAUGAUGCUGGCUGUAACCAUGCCGCAGUUGAUAGUGUCUCAAAAUUGUGGUUGUGCUCCCAACUUGUGCUGUAGUCAGUUUGGCUUCUGCGGCACCGGUGAUGCUUAUUGUGGCCAAGGAUGCCGGGAGGGACCUUGUACCUCAGCACCUAGUACCCCUAGCACGCCUAGUAACAAUGAUGUUACGGUGGCUGAUGUUGUUACACCGGAAUUCUUCAACGGUAUAAUCAAUCAAGCCGGGGGAGAUUGUGCCGGGAAGAGCUUCUACACACGAGAUGCGUUUCUCAGUGCCCUCAAUUCUUAUUCUCAGUUUGGCAAGAUUGGAUCAAAUGACGAUUCCAAACGUGAGAUUGCAGCAUUUUUUGCUCACGUCACGCAUGAGACCGGACGUAAGAUCUCUUAAAUCUCAUCUAUAUAUAUAUAUGUAUAUUGUCACACAUCACACCUUCAGUAAACAACAUAAUAAUAAUAAUAAUAAUCAUAUAGCAGUUAAAAACUUUAUUAACAUGCAUACAAACUUGGAAAUGCUAUAGUUGCUAGAGAAUGAUCGUUAUGAUAUGAACACAAGCAUAACCAUACAUCUCAAAGUUAACAAAUGGAUGUGUUUUGCUUGGUUUACAGACUUCUGCUACAUAGAAGAAAUAAACGGUGCCUCUCAGGACUACUGUGAUGAGACCAAUACACAGUAUCCAUGCAACCCGAACAAGAAAUACUUUGGCCGUGGACCUCUUCAACUAACAUGGAAUUACAAUUACGGGGCGGCUGGAGGGGCAAACAACUUUGAUGGACUAAACUCUCCUGAAACUGUGGCCAAUGAUCCUGUUGUGUCGUUCAAGACUGCCUUAUGGUUUUGGAUGACUAAUGUCCGCCCUGUGGUCACUCAAGGGUUUGGUGCGACGAUUAGAGCCAUUAAUGGUGCAGUUGAAUGUAAUGGUGGAAAUUCUGGUGCUGUUCAAGCUCGAAUUGGGUAUUACACAGAUUAUUGUAACCAGUUUGGCGUUGCACCUGGCGAUAAUCUAAGCUGUUAGGUUACAUUAUGCAUAUUAUAGUAUAGCAAUGAAAUGAAAUGGAAUCUACCUUCUGCCAUUUCUCGAAUGUAAGGUGGGAUACCCAGUGGUGUUCUGUAACUCUCGAUCGAGUUCGAUGUAUUUCUUGGAAUGGAUUUUAUAGAUAAAUAAAUGAAAUAAAGGCAUCACAUAAUUGAUUUUGCUUAUAAUGUAUUUGCUGGCUUAAUCGUUGUUAUGUUCAUUGCAAUUGCAAGUUUCUUGUUUAGGUUUUUUUUAUAUAUAUAUAAUCCUUAAUCACUAAUGAAAGUUUUGUUCUUGGGCAGAACCUCCUCAACCAUAAUUAAUUCCCCUAUGCCAUAAUCAUGUUUUGCGUUUUGAUCUCUAGCCAUAGUUGUUCAGAAACAUUAAAAAAAAAAAAAAAAAAAACAGGAACAAUAGGAUAUGAUACCAACUAGCACAAUUUAAACUAAUUAGACUGGCAAUAAAAAAAAACAUGGGAAGAUACAAUUCACCAAAAGGGCCAAACAAGAACCCUAGCUACAUUGUUAUUUUCAGAAUAAUAUUCUUCCACCGAAAUCUACCUCAUAAAAAUAUUUGCAAUAACUUAAAUAGUUCUAUCUUUAACCUCAAUCAAAAUGAAAAAAAUAAUCCUACAUAGACAGAAAAAUAAAAGGCUAAAAUUCAAAAUAAAUAAAAAUUAAAACUAAAAAAAUAACAUUUUUAAAAUUUAAUUUGAAAAUCUUUCUAACCUCAACAGAUGACAACGAGACGAUAUUCCACUAUAGAAUAUGCCUGCAGAAUCUUUUAAUGAAAUUUAAACAUGAUUUAAUAAUUAAAUAAAAAAUUAUGUUUAUUUUCUUGAAACAUAUUGUUUGGAGGGACUAAACUUUUUCUUAAAUUUGGAUUUUUUAUUCGAUCCAUAUAUAUAUAUCUAUUAGAUUUUUUAUAUACUCUAGUUACAACAAAUUUAUAUCUGAUUAUGAUUAUUAUUCUUGUAGAUUAAUAUUAGCAAUAACGAACAAUAUUGGUAUGGGAAAUUAAAUUCCUUAUAAUUACCUUACCCAACUCUCAAGCCCUAGAUGUACAUAGUGUGGUAAAGGAUUUAAAAGAUAUGGUAUUAGUGUAUGGGAAAGAAAUUAAAAUAAAUUGAGAACUUGGCUCUGCCUCGGUGCUCAGUACCAUUUGAUUUCUAACAUCUAUGCUUCUAGAAAUUUUGAACUCAUAGUUUGUCCAAAGUUUUUUUUAGCAGCCUUCGUUAAUGAUCUAUAUGAAACGAACAAUCAAGUCAUUGAGAAGCCUACAACACUUAUGGCACGUUGAGUGGAAGAAAUUCUCAAAGCCUACAACACUUAUGGCACGUUGAGUGGAAGAAAUUCUCAAAGCCUACAACACUUAUGAAAUUUUAAUUAUUACAUAGGAAAACCCACGCCCAAAGUUUAAAACACGUUAUUCAAUGAACUGUAAUAUAAAUGGAUAUUUGCAAACAACAUUCUCUCUAUUAGUUUCUAACAUACCAAAGAAAAUUUACGAAGCCAACAUUAUCGAUCGCAUAAUCCAUUAUCUGUAGGGGUCUCGAUACUAGAGGGAUUUGAUCCCAAAUCACACAAGCCUAGUAACUUUACUAAUCAGCUCUCUUUUUAGGUUUCUUCCGAGUUUUUUAUUAGUAAUUCUUCUCCAAUUUGUCGUCUCAAGCUGGUUUUUACUGUCUAUUUGCUAAUGAAGUCAAAGAAAAGAACAUGCAAUCCCCCCUAUUUAUAGGUUAUGGAAGAAGGUAAUAUUUUCUUCACCCGGGAAAAUUUUCAAUCCUUAAUUCAGAUGGAAAUGAUCACAACCGUUGACUUAAAAUAAGCAUGAACUGUAUAAAUUUACAGUUAGUGGCUGCUUGAGCUGGCCUCUUUAGGUUGGCACCGGACCUCUAUGGUGUUAAUCAACCUAAACAGACCAUACCAGGGUGUAAAAGGAUGUCAGGUGAUCAUUUACAUGCAAGUUUUGUGAAGGUUAGAUGCAUUAAAUGCACCUAUGAAGUUGUUUUCUAAGCUAUCAUUUCAGUGAAAAUUAAAGAAGAAGAUGAACAAUAACCAAAACAGCGCCAUUUUGGUAACAUUCACUUUAGCCAUUUGAUUUCUAAUUUGUCUCAAUUACACCCUUGAUUGACUUCAAAUUUUUAAUUUUAUGUAAUCUCAUCCCUAGAAAAACCUCAAUGUCAGCCUCGGAUAUCGCAAUGACGACGAUUAAAAAUAAUCUAAGAAAAGAAAAGAUAUCUAACAUCUUAAUCUUUGAAAAAAAAGGUCUAGUUUAAGGAGUCACCACCUAGUAUUACAAUCAGUACCAACCCUAAUUGAUCAACACAAAUUAUAUGGUACGGGACUGGUUACAUGAAAUGAAAUAUACUAUCACCCCUUAAGCGUCUUACUUAAAGCAAGCUACAUUGUUGGUUUUGUCUUAAAUUGCUAAGAGUUUGUCUUUGUUCCAUUUUUAAGGUCAUCCUAUAAUAUUCUCAACUCUGACAUCAAUAAUUAUUCACUGAUGAAUAUUUUCAACUCUAGCGUUGGUAAAUAUUGCGCAAUUCACAAAUUACAGUAUUUCUGACUAUAACGUCAGUGAAUAAGUCUGUAAAUUUCAAAUUCUAAAAAAGCAAGAAACAAAUUUUUUAUUUUUUUCUGGUCGGAUCUAGGUUGGUCGUACAGGCUGGGCUUGAUCCAGCUAGCCCGAGCUUGGUCACUGAAAUGCAACAAGCAUAUCUAAAUUAUAAUUCAUGUAUGGGUGUAUAGCAAGAAUGUAAUUAAAAUGGCAACGGUGAAGGGCCAAGAAUAAAAUUAAAAAUCAAAAAAAUAAAAAUCAAAUUUAAAGUAUCAAUAACUAAAAUGACAAUAUUGAAAUUCUAAAUGGCUAGUGCGAUUUUUGAGAGGAAAAGAGAGAGAAAAGAGUGGGGAAAAAGCCUCACCAACAACAAUUCAUCAUACCACCAUCACCACGUGCCACCCCACCAAAAAUAAUAAGCUGCAAAGAUUUCAACAACAUAAUGAAAGAGCUUUUUAACCACUGUGACGCAUUGUGUGUUCUGACAAAGAUUGUGGGCGCCUCCCACACGUUGGAGCAUAAGUUGUAUAAAUCAUCAACUUUUCUAUUUUAAUAUUAUUUUAUUUUUAUUAAAAGAUUAAAUUACCAUCAACCAAUUUAAUAAUAACAAAUAAAAAAACAUAGUAAAAAAACAUAAAAGUUCCUAUAUGCAAGCUUUAGAAAUUUUGCAAGUCUUUUUAUUGUUCCUAAAAUAGUGAAUUGAUGUGAAAGCCCUUCAAAGUUAGUUUCAAUAAUUUUGCUUUGAAGAGUAAAUUAAUAAUUUCAUUUUUAUUAUUAAUAAUUUCAUUUUUAUUAAAAAAAUAAAAAAGACAACCGCUCAAUAUAAUAAUUAAUAAUAAAUCAUGUACGAAAAGAAAAAACAAUCCCCAAUGUAAAAGCCAUUGGUUUUUUUGAGAAGGGUAAAUAGAUAACUAUACUGUAGCUUGGUAAAAUAUUUCUAUGCCAUAGUAUUUUCACCUUUUUGUUUUAGCUUUAUCAUUUUUUUUGUUAUAUUGCUAGACAUCUUUUAACCGCAGCUAAUAGUAUUCACAGCAACAAAUAUAACUAAAAGCAACCAAGUAAUCACUACAUAGAUCCUUAAUGUGUUAUUAAAUAUUAUAAGAGAUUUAAAUAAAAUAUAUAUGUGUAUAUAUAUAUAUAUAUAAAAAAAAGGUUCAUACACAAAAUUUAUAUGGUUUAAGGGCCACACUUUCUAAAAAAAUUAAUUUUUUUCUUCAAAUUAAAUAUUACUAUUUGAGAGUAAUUGAGUUUAUCUACUGAAUUUAUCAUCCAAUCUGUUUGCAACGCGAAGCCCCAUGUAUCUCAAGCCCGUCAUACUAUAUUCCAAAUGAAGGCCCAAAAACGAUGGGCCAUUAUGACGACAGCUGUUCAGCACUUCAUUUAGGCCCCCGUCUUUCAAAUGAAAUGCAAUUACAAUUUCAGGAUGUGUUAGCAACAAUUCCACGACGUCGCAUCCAAUGUUUCUCAGAGGCAUGAAAGCACAAGGCUAAGCUUCUCUCUUCAAGUGGAAGUCUAGCAUGUUGAAGAUGAAUGUGAGGUGGAAUCCCAAGGCUCAUUGGACUCUGGAAUCAGACAAGGGAAUCUUCGUUGUUUAACAUCUUCAAAUUCUGUUGUUGAGGCAGAGGUGCAGGGAACGUUGAAAACUGGGCAGGCAUUGGGCUUUGGAAUGUUGAGGACUUGUAACAUCCAUUAGAGGCCAGGUGGACAGAGAGCUGGAAGAUUGGAAUGACGACCAAUAAUGCCAUUUUGCAGCUCGACAGUGGAUAUGUAUUACCUUCUUUCUUAAUGAAGAUCUUAUUCUGGAAUAGUUGUGGAUUGGGUAUGUCUGUUAAGGGGGUAUCGAUUAGGAAUACUGUUCUGCAUAAUGACAUUGAGGCGUGUUUCCUGCCAGGAACUAAGAGGGCAAUGUGCUGUGACAAUUUUGUUCAUGCAUUAUAGAAUAACUUAUCAGUCAAAUGGUUUACACUUAAUUCAGUUGAUUAUAUUAGGGUGGAGGUAUUUUGGCUACUUGGGAUGAAAGUAAUUUCAUGGUUCAUUUAGCCGGAUAUCAAACUAGAAUUGACAUAAAAAUUAUGGUUAAGAUAUAAGGGUGUGUUUUGCCAAACACACCCUUAGUAAAUAUGGACUAGGCAGGUUGGAUUUGAAGCCCAAACCUGGCCAACAUUUUCUUUUUUUUUUAUUGGGUAAGAUCUAGCCUAACCAUCCGAGUUGGGCUCGACCCAGCUGGUCAACAUGGUUAUUGGCCUAAGCCAGUAACCUAGUUUGUGCAAUAUUUAAUUUUUUAUAGGCAGAAUAACAAAAAGAAAAAUGGCUUUAAAAAUUUCUUCUUCAAAUUCAAUUUUUUACCUGGUUUACAAUCCAUGUGAAUUAAAAUGAGAGCUGAGGAAGAAAGAAGACUUACCUAGCUUGCAAAAGCAUUGCCCGAGAUUGCAAGCGCUGGUCGAAGCUCUUGUCUUCAAGUUUUCUCCUAUUCCUUGUUCAUUUUAUUUUUUUUCAGCUUCUCUCGUUAUAUCUCUCUUGUCUCUCUCUCUCUUUUUCUUUUUUUUUUUUGUCUUUCCUUCUCUCUUUUUUUCUCCACUACCCACUCUCCUUUUUCUUUCUUUUUUUGUUACACCAUGGUGUGGCUUUUCACUAGCCUUUUAUAAGGCCAGAACAAAUGGUUGUUCCCCAGUACGUCUCUUUUUUCCUGGGAGGAGGAUAAGUCUUAGGGUGUUAGUCUUUUGCUGGGACUUGGAUGCGAGAUUCGAUCCUUAUCAUCCUAGGAUUGUGACCUUCAUGAAGAUAGGGAUUAAUCCUUGUGUUUUGGUAGACCUAGGAUGUUGGCAUUUCAAUUUAUUUCCCUUCUUUGCAAGCGAAUUUGUAGUGUUAGAGGAAGAAGAAGAAGAAUUGUGCAUGGUUGAAACGGCGUCGUUUUGGAUUGGGAAUGAACAUUUUCAAUUUGAUCCUUAAAGUUUUGAAAUUUCCUAAUAUGGCCCCUAAAGUUCAACACCUUUUACAAAAUGGUCCCUAAUUUCUAAUUUCUUGCAAUUUUGACCCAAAUCAACCCUGAAUUAUAAUAUUUCUUCAAUUAGGCCUUGACUCCAUUAAUUAAACUAGCUCUAAGCUUAAUUAAGUCCCCAAAUUUAUCAAUUCUAUGAUUAAGCUCGUAAUUUCAUUAAUUAAAUUAAUUUAAAGUUUAAUUAAGUCUCCAAACUUAUCAAUUUUUCCAAAUUCUAGCAAAGUCAAACCCUAAAUUUAUAAUUUCACCCUGACUAGAUCCUCAAGACUUUCAAUUUGUAUUGUCUUCACCCAAAUCUCAAUUUUUUCUCCAUUCAUUUCAUUUUUUCGAUGAAUUUAUGUUGUCAAAAAUUAAGUUACGACAACUGUAUCCAAUAAAUUAAAAGUCAUCAUGCCUGAUAUUAGUAGUGUUAAUCAAACAACUUUUUUCAUCUCUAGUAGGCAAAUUUUAGAUGGUUUCGUGAUGGCUAAUAAAAGUGUACAUAGUAUCAAGAAAAGUGGGAAACAUAGUUUUGUUAUGAAAGUGGACUUCCAUAAGACUUUUAAUUCUGUUGUUUAAGAGUACCUAGAGGAAGUGAUGUUAUAUGUGAGUUUUUGAAGGAGGCGGAUUUCUCUAAUACAUAAAUGCAUUACGGGAUCUAAAUUAGCUAUUCUUAUUAAAGGUUCACCAAUCAUGAAGUUUAGAGUAGAACGAGAACUACGUCAAGGCAAGAAUAACUAUCGCCUUUUUUUUUUUACAUAGAUGUGGAAGGGUUAUUAGUUAUGUUUAUGAGAGCUUCCACUUCCGGAUUAUUUAAAGGAAUCCAUUGUGAAAAUGAGAUAUAUAUGAGUCAUUUGAAAUAUACAAAUGAUACCUUAUUAUUUAUUCCUAAUUAUUUCACUUUGAUAACUAAUGCUAAAAGGAUUUUGAGGUGGUUUGAAUUGACUUUAGGUCUAAAAUUUAACUUUCAUAAAAGUUCACUAGUUGACAUCAACCUAGAUGAUGAAUUUAUGAUAGGAAUAACAAAUGUGAUAUAUUGCAAAUGGGACACACUACUUGUCCGAUACUUAAGCCAGAUCUUUGGGGGCAAACCCGAAAAGACUCUUCACUUGGAAGCCUAUCAUAAAUAGCAUCCAGACAAGACUGGUUCAUGAAAAGAAUGUUUAUUGAGCAUGACAAGAAGUGUCUAAUUAAAUUUGUGUUGUCCUCCCUUUCCUUGUAUGUACAUGUCCAUCUUUCUUAUGCCAAAGGGAGUUGUUAGGGUUAUUAAUUUGAUCAAGAGGAGGUUCUUGUGUAGUGGGGAUUUUGGUGCAAGGAAAAUAUAUAAAGUUGCUUUGUAGGUGGUUGUAAGGGGGAAAAUAGAGGGGGUUUGGGCAUUGGCUCAUUGGAAGGCAAGAACAAGGCAUUGCUAUUUAAAUGACUCUUGAGGCUAGGGGAAAGCAAUUUGAGAGGUUGGUAAGAGCAUAUCUACAAAAGAUAUCAGGCUACUAUUAUUAAUGGCCUCUCACUUCUUAAAUAAUCUUUUUCUGAAACAUGGCACUCUAUCUAUUUUGUUAUCAGCACGGACUCUAAAAUAGAAGUGACUUUGAAGAACAAUUGAUGGUUUUAGAUUGGCAAUGAAAGCAACAUUCACUUCUAAACAGACAAGCGGCUAGCUGGUAGGCUGUUAAAAGAUUUUUAUUUGUGCCUUUUCUCCUUUAUCACAACACCUUCUCCUUGCUUGUAGAUAUGGGGGCAAUGCUGCGACUUGGUGGAAAUGGAGACUUCACUAAAAAGAUGCUUGUGGACAUUAGAAAAAGAGAAAUUAAGUAACAUGAAUCAAAUGUUCGUAAGGGUAAUAUUGCAGUCGAUUAGAGGUGAUAAAAAAAUAUGGGCAAGAGACAUAAUCGAGGCCUAUAUGUCAAUUCUGACAGUGAUUUAAUAGAUAACAUUCUAUUUCUAGGAAACUUCAUAUUCACUUCACUUUUAUGGAAAUGAUCUACCCACCAAAUGUAGAAAUGUUUAUAUGGAUAUUGUUCCAAAGCAUAAUAUGUACAAGAGCCUUUCUACCACACUGUCAUUUAGGACAACCCAGUCAAGCUAUAUAUCCCUUUUAUGAACAUGAAAAAGAGAAUGCUCCUCAUCUUUUCCUUCAUUGCUACCACAUGUGGAGAUUAUGACAAUGAUUUUUGAGUUGGUCUGAUGCCUCUGGUGUAUGCCAAAUACAAUAGAUCAAGUGAUCUGGCAAUGGAGCAACAUGGUCGAAGGUAAGUUCUAGUAAAAUGCAUUUACAAUGUUAUCAUAUGGAAUUUUGUAGGGGUAUUUAGACUGCAAGAAACAAGCUGAUCUUCAAAGAUAAAAAGCUUGAUUGGAAUACAUUGUUUCAACUCAUACUCUAUUGACUUACACUUUGGUUAAAGGUCUGGAAUAAUAAUUUUUCAUACACAAAAAAUGAUUUGAUUAGAGAUCUUGGAGGCAUUUUAACAUGUUCUAAUAAGUGAUGAGUAAUUGGUUGUAGGAGCUUGUUAUUAGCAUCUCCUUUGUAACUUCCUUUUAUGUUUUUAUCUACGAUUUCAUGUUCAUCAUAGUCUUAAUGGUAUACUGGUUUUAUCAAUAAAUAACUCGAUUGAGUUGGUGUAGUUCCUUUCCCUUUGGCUAUAGGUUUUUAAGUUUCUUUAGUUUGGUAAUUCAUCAAACGCAAAUUAAGCUCUUACAAAUAGGAAAUGUAUGGUUGGAAAAAAGUUAGGAAGUGAUAAUUAUCAGCACAUACCAAGCCAAAUAAGACUAUCUGAUGUAACUUGAACAGUUUAGUUUAAUUAGUCAGAAUUUGUUCUCUAAAUAUUACCAUUUCAAGUUUCACAAAUUUAAUGGUCACUAGAUACUUAUAUAAUCGUUAACUUCAGAGUCUCAAAGGAUUAAUCGAGGUGCGCUCGAACACUCACAAUUAAAAAAAAAAAAAAAAAGAUUAUCUGAUGUAGAAAUAGACACAUGCUACUAAAUAGGAUUGUGUCUGAUGUAGUAAUAAAGUUUCUACCUUUUAUGGUAUAUAAAUGUCUGACCACUUCAAAAACAUGUCACGUAAGGACAUUAAUGUCAUUAUCCUAGAUAUUUUUGCUAAACUUUAUAGACUAAAUUAUAAUCAACACAUAUAUAUUUUACACGUAAAAUUAUAGACCUCGUCCACCUUGUGCCUCUAUAAAUAGCUUAACAUCGACCUUAUCACCACACAUCACAAGAAAUUCCUUUCUCUCUUUGCAUAACAAUAUCAAAACUCCCUUCAGGAGUAGCGAAAAUGAGAAGCAAUAUUCUACUUACCAUUAUCUUAGCCAUAGUUCUUGCAGGAGCCCUGCACAAGAAUGUGGUAGAGGCUCAGAAUUGUGGCUGUGCUGCAAACCUUUGUUGCAGUCAAUAUGGCUACUGUGGCACUGGCAAUGCCUAUUGUGGUCAGGGAUGUAAACAAGGGCCCUGUACUUCAUCACCUACGCCUACUACCCCUAGUGGGAGUGGUUCUGUUGCUGAUAUUGUUACGCCUGCUUUCUUCAAUGGUAUAAUCAACCAAGCUGCUGCAAGCUGUGCUGGG